rnacentral:lncRNA from 1 species
CCGGCCAAAGAAGAACAAAGGAAGAAAAGAAAGAACAAGAACCCUAGGUGGAGAAUUUCAAGAGAAAAAGUGUGAAAAAUCAAGGAAAACAAGUGAAAAAAGUAGGAUUUCUCAAUUUAAACUUGAAAUCUAUUUUCCUUAAGCAUUUCUCCUUAUUUUCCAUGGUUAAAUUUCAUAUUUUUAUGGUGAAUUCAUGGCUAGCCGAAUGGGUAUGGAGAGAGAAUGAUGUUGGACUGAUUUGAUUUCAAGUUAUGUUAGUGUUUUUAGUUAGUUUACCAUGUCUAGAAGCAAAACAACAAGAAAAGAAUUCAUUUUUCACAUCACCCAUCAAUGGCCGAACCUAUCUUGUAUUGAGUGAGGAUGAAUUUGAUUUUUUAUUUUAAGAGAAUUGGUUAGAAAAUGAUGAAUUAUGGUGUGGAAAAGUAGUAAGAAAAAUCACGGUGUUAAUGCACCAUUAUUGACCGAAAAUUCUAAGAAGAAAAGUGAAGAUGGUUUUGCCAAAUUUUAGGUUAUUUGACUUAUGUUUGGUGAAUUAAGGUAUUGGAAAAGAAAUGGAGCAAUUUGGAGCUAAAUUGGACACGUUGGCCAAUUAAUCAGGUGAUAAGACGAAUUAGGCUAAUACCGGGUUUAGAUGGUUACCCGUGCAUUUUGCAUUCCAUAUCAUGCAUUAGUAGUCUAAAUUAGUUUAAUUUCGAUUUAGUACCAAUGUAGUAAGUUUCUCAAUUUUGUACUACGUCAAGGUGGUGAGUCCUCCGAUAAAGGCAAGGAAAUUGCAUUCGAGGACCAGUAGUCUAAGUAUUUCGAAAAUCCCGCACUCUAGACAUUGUGAGUAACCUUACUAUCAUCUUAAUUAUCUGAAGUGGUUUUUAUCCGAUUUCAUGAUUUUAUGGAAAAUGAGUUUAAAUGGUAAAUCUUUAUGUUUUAUAAGCAAAAUGUGUUUAAAUGAAAUGAUUUUAUAAAAUUGUCUUGAAAUUGAAUAAUGGCUUUGAAAAUAGAGUAUUGGAGACCAUUUGAUGUAUUGUGAAUUUAUGAUUCUAAUUGAUUGGCUUAUGACAAUAUUGGCAUGAAUGGUUGAAUUGGUAUUUGUGUUGAAAUGUAUAAACUGUUGUUUACCUUGAUAGGCUGGAUAAUGAUAAAGUUGCCAUAUUAUGCUGUUGAAUUUUUAUUGUAUGGUGGGUUUAGCUUGCUGUAGUAGGCUAGUUCUGUGGACGAACCUAUUAGAGGGGCACGAAACCUGGUCAUAUAUAUGUACCUCGAUUGGAGAGGCGUGUAGGGUAACUCCCGAGGUCAAACUUUAGAGUUCACUUCAUGCCUAACCACCACGUGAGGGGAACUCAGUCAACGCCAAGGAACGACUAUGUUUUCAAAAUAAAAACAUGAUUUAUGCGUCCAUAACUUUUUAACAGUCUUGGCGGACUGGGUUGGGAUAGCCCUCGAUCAAGGCAUCCCUGAUAACUGGGUAUAAAAAUGAUUUUGGCACGAGCCAAAGUUUUAAGAAAUUCAUAAGCCAUGUUGAUUACUCAAUUUAUAUGAAUUGAUUUUAUUUGGUUGAAACAAGUUGAAAAGUGAUGAAUUNNNNNNNNNNNNNNNNNNNNNNNNNNNNNNNNNNNNNNNNNNNNNNNNNNNNNNNNNNNNNNNNNNNNNNNNNNNNNNNNNNNNNNNNNNNNNNNNNNNNNNNNNNNNNNNNNNNNNNNNNNNNNNNNNNNNNNNNNNNNNNNNNNNNNNNNNNNNNNNNNNNNNNNNNNNNNNNNNNNNNNNNNNNNNNNNNNNNNNNNNNNNNNNNNNNNNNNNNNNNNNNNNNNNNNNNNNNNNNNNNNNNNNNNNNNNNNNNNNNNNNNNNNNNNNNNNNNNNNNNNNNNNNNNNNNNNNNNNNNNNNNNNNNNNNNNNNNNNNNNNNNNNNNNNNNNNNNNNNNNNNNNNNNNNNNNNNNNNNNNNNNNNNNNNNNNNNNNNNNNNNNNNNNNNNNNNNNNNNNNNNNNNNNNNNNNNNNNNNNNNNNNNNNNNNNNNNNNNNNNNNNNNNNNNNNNNNNNNNNNNNNNNNNNNNNNNNNNNNNNNNNNNNNNNNNNNNNNNNNNNNNNNNNNNNNNNNNNNNNNNNNNNNNNNNNNNNNNNNNNNNNNNNNNNNNNNNNNNNNNNNNNNNNNNNNNNNNNNNNNNNNNNNNNNNNNNNNNNNNNNNNNNNNNNNNNNNNNNNNNNNNNNNNNNNNNNNNNNNNNNNNNNNNNNNNNNNNNNNNNNNNNNNNNNNNNNNNNNNNNNNNNNNNNNNNNNNNNNNNNNNNNNNNNNNNNNNNNNNNNNNNNNNNNNNNNNNNNNNNNNNNNNNNNNNNNNNNNNNNNNNNNNNNNNNNNNNNNNNNNNNNNNNNNNNNNNNNNNNNNNNNNNNNNNNNNNNNNNNNNNNNNNNNNNNNNNNNNNNNNNNNNNNNNNNNNNNNNNNNNNNNNNNNNNNNNNNNNNNNNNNNNNNNNNNNNNNNNNNNNNNNNNNNNNNNNNNNNNNNNNNNNNNNNNNNNNNNNNNNNNNNNNNNNNNNNNNNNNNNNNNNNNNNNNNNNNNNNNNNNNNNNNNNNNNNNNNNNNNNNNNNNNNNNNNNNNNNNNNNNNNNNNNNNNNNNNNNNNNNNNNNNNNNNNNNNNNNNNNNNNNNNNNNNNNNNNNNNNNNNNNNNNNNNNNNNNNNNNNNNNNNNNNNNNNNNNNNNNNNNNNNNNNNNNNNNNNNNNNNNNNNNNNNNNNNNNNNNNNNNNNNNNNNNNNNNNNNNNNNNNNNNNNNNNNNNNNNNNNNNNNNNNNNNNNNNNNNNNNNNNNNNNNNNNNNNNNNNNNNNNNNNNNNNNNNNNNNNNNNNNNNNNNNNNNNNNNNNNNNNNNNNNNNNNNNNNNNNNNNNNNNNNNNNNNNNNNNNNNNNNNNNNNNNNNNNNNNNNNNNNNNNNNNNNNNNNNNNNNNNNNNNNNNNNNNNNNNNNNNNNNNNNNNNNNNNNNNNNNNNNNNNNNNNNNNNNNNNNNNNNNNNNNNNNNNNNNNNNNNNNNNNNNNNNNNNNNNNNNNNNNNNNNNNNNNNNNNNNNNNNNNNNNNNNNNNNNNNNNNNNNNNNNNNNNNNNNNNNNNNNNNNNNNNNNNNNNNNNNNNNNNNNNNNNNNNNNNNNNNNNNNNNNNNNNNNNNNNNNNNNNNNNNNNNNNNNNNNNNNNNNNNNNNNNNNNNNNNNNNNNNNNNNNNNNNNNNNNNNNNNNNNNNNNNNNNNNNNNNNNNNNNNNNNNNNNNNNNNNNNNNNNNNNNNNNNNNNNNNNNNNNNNNNNNNNNNNNNNNNNNNNNNNNNNNNNNNNNNNNNNNUAUAUAUAUAUAUAUAUAUAUAUAUAUAUAUAUAUAUAUAUAUAUAUUCAUCAUCAAGUACACUCUCCCAUCGUCAUCAGCUCAUGUGCACUCCCCAUUAGCACAUGGUUGGGUGAUCAUCGGCUUAUGUACACUCCCCCUAGCACAUAGUCGGGUCAUUAUCGGCUUAUGUACACUCCUACUCGCACAUAGUCGGGUCCACAUCAACAUACAAAGAAGCACCCUAUGCAUAUCAUGCAUAUUAUCAUAUUGUGAUAACACAUAAACUAUUGUAUAGCACAUUUUCACAAUAUAAAAUCACUUCACCAAAGGCUUGUUCCCAAGGUACAUUUUCAAAGGAAAACUGGAUAAAAUCUUUCAAAUGUUUGUACAAUUGCAUUCACAUUCCCAAAACAAAUUUUAAAAUGCAAGUCCACUCAUCGGUAUUUGUUAAGCCUUUAACCGACUCUAACCUCCCUAAUGGUCCAAUUGGGGCUGUGGGACUUCGUUAGAGCCUUGGUAGCUUGUAUUUGAAAUUCUUUCCAAAACUUUCAAGCUAUUUUUGAAGCUUCCCCUUUCACUCUCUAAAACACCUAACUAGUGAGAGAGAGUAUGAAAAUAAGAUUUUUUCAAGGGUUUUAAGGAGAGAGAGUGGAAGAGCACAAGGGUUUAUGAAAAAGGUGCACCAAAAGCAUGAAAUUUAAAACUAUUUGAGGAAGGUUGUAGAGCUUUCUUAUCAAGCUUUUAUGGAGGUUGGGAAACAACGUGAAAGAGAAGAAGAAGAAGAAGAAGAAGAAGAAAAUUUGCUAGAGAAUGUAGAAGCUGCUGGAAGAAAGAGAUAUUUAUAGCCCAAGCUUAUCAAUUCCACUUAAAUUACCAAAAUGCCCUUCCACAAAUUAGCUUAUUCUCUUCAAUCUUUUAUGCAAUAUUUUUACUCUUUUGACACAGGGACAAGGUCCAUAAUGGUCUAGAAAUGCUCUGGUUCAUGAAAACUUAAAAAUUCUAACCCAAGGUGAAAAAUGACCAUUUUGCCCCUACCAUGAAAAUCAUCAAAAGUUUUAUUUUCUUGUCAUUUUACCCACAUUUUCAUCAUUCAUUUAUGCGUUAGGCCUACUUAGGCUAUAAUAUUGUUUAAAAUCUUACUUUUAUGAGCUUACUAAGGAAAUGAUGAAAUUACCCCUAAUUAGGGAUAUCACGUAUAUUACUAACUAUGAGUCUAUAAAGGUUAAGGUCUCACAAUAGUCUUCCUGCCUUUGGUUGGUGGUUUUGCCUCAGUUGGUGGUGUUGUAGUGGCUUUAGCUUUUUCUGCUUUUGCCUUUACUCUGGUAGUUGAUGCAGGUUUCUUUUUUUCUCCUACAUCUUCACCAUUCUUUUGAGUUUUUGUCCUAGUAGUGUCUUUCUCAGCUUGUCCCUCCUUAACCAUUUGGUUGAAGACAUCCAUAAUGGAAACUUUCUCUAAAUUUGGAGGAAAGGCUUGCUGUUUCUCUAUCCCUGAACUAACUACUUCUGUCCCUUGUUCUGAAUCAUUUUUGCUUUGAGGUUCAGAAGAGGAUGUCUUGGUUGUCUGAUCCAACCUUUGAGGAGAGUCUUCAAUUUACAGAAUAGGACUGGCAGACUUGUAGGUGGAACCUUCAACUUGAAAGCCAGAACUUUCAACAUGAGGAGCAGAUUUUUCUGCUAGCUCAGUUGAACCUUUAGCACCUUGCUGUGUUGGUGCAGUGCUAGAUGUUGCAGAGUUGUCUGCAGCCACAAGUUCAGAUGGAAUGCUUUCCUUCUCCUUCAGCUUGUUUUUCAACUCAGUGAUUUUCUCUUUAAUUUUCUGUAUCUUUUCUCCUUGGUCAGUCAACUUUCCAUCAAUCCUUAUGAGCAAAUUAAAAAUUACUUCAUUUGAGAAUCUGGAAAGGGCUUCUUCAAGUUGAGCUAGUAGGCUGUGUUCUUUUCUUGGACCAGUCUUGGGGGUCUUAAUAAAUUUUUCCCCAUCGAGUAUAUACCCCAUUUUAACCAAGCUCCUAUAAUAAAUAGCUUGAUCUCUGGUUUUUAUUAGGUCCAAAUCAUACCUCUUUGCCCAUAUUCCCUUCUUUUGCACCAGGGAUGUAAUUACAUUCCCAUACGGCAUAUUAACCUUAUCAAGUCUGCAGGCACUUCUUAUUUUUUCAAUCAUAAAUCUUCUCAGAUUCAGAGGUACCUCGUUGAAGGCAUGCUCCAUUAGCUAGAGGUCUUGGAGGCUAAUGUAGCUAAGGCUUCCACUUCUACCUUGAAUGUUGGCUAUUGUAAAAUAGUGUAAAAUCCUAAUCUGAGGACUGAUUAUCAGACUUGAAUUGCUUUUUGAAGAAUAUUUUUCUUUUCUUCUAGUGAUGAUCUCCUGCAAUGAGGAUGGAUCAUAUUUUUCAGGGAACUCAUACUCUCAUUCUUUGCAUUCUAUUUCCUGCAAAUUUCCUAAAUCUUCAACAGUCACAAUAAAUUCUUUUCCAUUUAGAUAAACAUUCAGACUAUCUUCAUCAUAAUCAUCAGAAUCUAUUAAUUCUUUUCCUUUCAAAGCAAUACCAAAAUAUAAAUCUUUAACCAGACUUGGACUAUAAGACCUAUUCUUAAAGGUGUUGCAACCUUUUAGUUUCAGUUCAUCAAAGUACUCAAAUAAACUAGUUUGGAUUUCAAUAUUAUCCUUAAAACUCUUCCAAUCAAUAAAUUUUCCACUGGAGAUUGGUGCAUUCUUGAUAUUCUUGAACUUAUAUUCAUGCAACUUAUUCCUAAAUUUUGAAAAAGAAGAACUAGUACUUUUGUGGAGUGAGGGUUUUGUAUCUUUCUUCUUCUCAGUUUUUUACUUCUUUUCUCUUAGUUUUUUGAAUUUUUUUUCACUGAACCAGGCAUGAUUUUUAGUUUCUUCUUCAGACUUUCCGUUCCUGUUCUUUCCUCCAUUGGCCAUUUCCCUUUCUUCUUUUCUAAUAUCUCUUGACCCUGAGAUGUUUUAGCCAUAUUGGUUCCAGAAAUUUUUGAGGGUUUGAGUCGAUUUCAGAGGCAAACAGGAAGAUUAAGGUGUUGUUUUUAGAGCAACAAGUUUCAGGGGAGAGGAAAGAAGAGGUAGUUAACAGUUAUUACUCAAAAAAAUUGCUCACCUUCCCUUAAGUACUACCCUACUUUUAUUUCUUCAUAAUUUUAAAUUUCCCUAUAAAAAUUUGGUUAUUUACCUUUGGCAGUAUUUCUUCAUUCUUUUUGCACCCGGUAAACCCAAAUUUUUACCACAUUUUACUCUUCUUUCUCUAAACUCACUGAGUCUUAUUAUAUAAAGCUGUUAGACCACUCUUAGUUGACUAAGAAAUCCUUAGUCGACUAAAUGCAUUCUGUUUUCUAUGUGAGAGCCAAAGGUUUUCUUAUAAUUCCUUCACAUUGAUCAUCCCUAAAUUUCUUCUAAUCUCACAGAAUCUAUCUUCACUCAGGGGUUUCAUAAAAAUGUCUGUUAAUUGAUGUAAAGUAUUCACAAAUUCUAUCUUAAUAUCAUUUUUCACUACAUGGUCUCUAAUAAAAUGGUGUCUAAUUUCAAUGUGCUUUGUCCUAAAGUGCUGCACAGGGUUUUUUGAUAUAUUGAUUGUACUUGUGUUAUCAUAGUAUAUUGGUACAUUAUGCAUAAUUAUUUCAUAGUCUUUUAAUUGUUGCUUGAUCCAAAGGAUUUAUGCACAGCAACUUCCGAAUGAUACAUAUUCAGCCUCUGCUAUAGAUAAUGCCACUGAAUUUUGCUUCUUGCUGGACCAAGAUACAAGCAUGCUUCCUAAAAUUGGCAUGUUUCACUAGUGCUUUUCCUAUUAGUUCGGCUGCCAGCAAAGUCAGCAUCUGAAUAUCUAACUAAGCUAAGAGUUGAGUCUCUAGAGUACCAUAUUCCUAGUCCUUGAGUGUCUAUGAGGUAUCUAAAAAUUCUCUUAACAGCUAUUAGGUGUGUUUCUUUAGGCUAUAACUAAAAUCUAGUACACAAGCACACACUAAACUGAAUAUCUGGUCUACUUGCUGUUAAGUAGAGAAGAGAGCCGAUCAUACCUUUAUAGAGCUUUGGAUCUACAUUCUUACCUUUUUCAUCUAAGUCGAGUUUUGUUGAUGGACUCAUUGGAGUGGAAAUUGAUUUCAGCUUCAGCAUAUCAAAUUUCUUGAGCAUAUCAUGAGUGUAUCUUUCUUGGUUGAUGAAGAUUCCUUCUUCACUUUGUUUGAUUUGAAGACUAAAGAAGUACCUCAACUCUCCCAUCAUGCUCAUCUUAAACUCACCUUGCAUUUCCUUAGCAAAGUUCUUGCAUAAGCCUCAUUAGUUGCACCAAAUACAAUGUCAUCCACUUAUAUUUGCACAACAAUUAAAUCAUUUAGAUAUCUUUUAAUAAACAAUGUAGUAUCAAUGCUACCUCUAUCAUACCCUUUCUCAACUAGAAAUUUUGAAAGCCUCUCAUACCAAGCUCUAGGAGCUUGUUUCAAUCCAUACAAGGCUUUUAUGAAGUUUGAAAACAUGAUCAGAUUUUUCAAAGUCUUCAAAACCAGGUGGUUGUUCUACAUAUACUUCCUCUUGAAUUAAUCCAUUCAAGAAUGCACUUUUUACAUCCAAUUGGAACAAUUUAAAAUUCAUGAAACAUGCAAAAGCUAGCAACAACCUUAUGGCUUCAAUCCUAGCAACAAAAGCAAAGGUUUCAUCAUAAUCAAUUCUUUCUUCUUGGUUGAAUCCUUUUGCUACCAACCUAGCUUUAUUUCUAACUACAUUUCCUUGCUUAUCUACCUUAUUUUUAAGUACCCAUUUUGUACCAACAAUAGGGUGAUUUGAAAGUCUAAGUACCAAUGACCAUACACGACUCUUUGUGAAUUGAUCAAGUUCUUCUUGCAUGGCCAUUAUCCAACUUUCCUCUUUUUCAGCUUUUUCAAAGUUUUUAGGUUCAAUUUGAGAUAUAAAAGCUGAAAACUCACAAGUUUCUCUAGUUGCUUUCCUAGUUUUAACUCCUCGUGAAAUGUCACCUAUUAUUUGAUCUUGUGGGUGAUCUCUUACUAAUAUCCAACUCCUUGGUAGAUCAUCAUGCUGAUUUUCUACUAUUUGCAGAUUUUAUAGAGGUAGAGUUUCAUUUUCUCUUCUAGGUGAGCUUUUUUCAUUAUUUUUGUUGUUUUGUAAGCUCAUUUCCUCCAUUUGUUUUUCUAGGACUUCUACACCAUCAUCAUCAUCAUCAUGAACUUUUUUUUCUAAAGCAUUUGACUCAUUAAAAACUACAUGAACUGAUUCUUUAACGAUUAAGGUCCUUUUGUUAAAAACUCUAUAAGCUUUUGUGUUUAAUGCAUAUCCUAAAAAUAUUGCUUCAUCACUCUUUGCAUCAAACUUUCCUAGGGGCUGUUUUCCAUUGUUUAAUACAAAGCAUUUAUAGCCAAAACUCUUAAGGUGAGAAAUAUUUGGUUUCCCACCUUUAUAAAGUUCAUAUGGAGUCUUUGAAAUCAAAGGUCUUAUUGAGACUCUAUUAAGAAUAUAAGCUGUUGUAUUUACUACCUCAGCCUAAAGAUAUUUAGGUAGGUUGUUCUCACAUAGCAUGGUCCUAGCCACUUCUUUUAAGGUUCGAUUUUUCCUCUCUACAACUCCAUUUUACUGGGGUGUUUUAGGUGUAGAAAAAUUAUGAUCCAACCUUUUUUCAUUGCAAAACUUUUCAAACUCAUCAUUUUCAAAUUCUCCUCCAUGAUCACUCCUCAUGCUAACUAUAUCUAGUCCUUUUUCAUUUUGUACUUUCUUACAAUGACUUAAGAAUGCUUGUAGAGCAUCAUUCUUAUGAGCAAGAAAAUACACCCAAGUAUGUCUAGAAUAGUCAUCAACUAUUACAAAUCCAUAAGAUUUUCCUCCUAAGCUAGUUGUGCUUAUUGGACCAAAAAGAUUAAUGUGUAACAAUUCAAGAGGUCUAGAUGUUGACACUAUCUUCUUAGUCUUAAAGAAUGUUCGAACUUGUUUUCCUAGUUGGCAAGCAUCACAUAUCCUAUCAUUUUCAAAUUUUAAAUCCGGCAGCCCAACCACUAAAUUCUUUUUAAUCAAUUUUGACAUAGAAUGCAAACUUACAUGUCCUAAUCUUCUGUGCCAUAACCAGCUAUCAUUUUCAGCACUUACAACAAGACAUACUUCACUAUUUACUCCAAGAUCUUCGAGAAAAAUUACAUACAUGUUCUUCAAUCUUUUUCCUAUAAAUGAGAUUUUAUUUAUACUUAUAUCUAUCACUUCACACUUAGUUGAAUCAAAACAUACUUUAAAUCCUUUAUCAUAUAAUUGACUAAUACUUAGUAAAUUAUGCUUUAAGCCUUUAACCAACAACACAUGACUUAUUUGAGUUUAGGAAUUCUUACUAAUCGUACCUAUACCAUGGAUGCUUCCUUUUGAAUCAUCUCCAAAGGAUAUGGUUCCUCCCUUUCUCUUAUCCAGUUGAGCAAAUAACAUUUCAUGUCCUGUCAUGUGCCGUGAACAGCCACUGUCCAAGUCCCAAGACUGUUUCUUCUUGAGUUGAGCUCUUGAACAUGUCUUCUUUGAGUCCAACUCAACUUACAAAACAGAAUUACAGUUUUUCUAUAUAGGUACCCAUACUUUGAUGGGUCCUUGAGUGUUAGUUGCUGUCAAGCCCAGCCCUAUAAUAUACUUGCCAUGUCAUUCAUGUAUUGACAACAUGCUUGCAUACUUGAAUACCUCGAAAAAACCGUCAAAAGUCGGUAGUGUACCAAUGGUACAACUAAGUUGAUUUAAGCCUCGAACUAGUUCAAAUAAAAAUUUUAAGAUGCAAUUGAGAGUUAUUGAAUCUUAGAAUGACUCAAUAUGGUGAUUCGGAGUUUAGGGAUUGAUUUGGAGUUAAAUUGGAAUUUUUAUAACGUAGGGGUAAAAUUGUCAUUUUUCCACCUGAGGGCAAAUUUGGGAUGGUGGAUGAAAUUUUGAUGAAGUUUGACUAUUUGGAACAUAAUUUGAGCUUGAGAAGUGAAAAAUUUUAAUUCCGAUAAUUUUUCAAACAUUAGGGCAAAAAGGUCAUUUCACGUAUCCACAAGGACGUAAUUAGAAUUUUUGAAAUUUUACACCACCUUGACACUUGUCAAACCCAUGAAAUUCAUUUUAUACUUUGGAUAAUUGAGGGAUUUUAUGUGGUGGAGAAGAAAUGCUUAAUUAUUAAGUUUUAUGCGUCGACCAAUCACACGGUGACAAGUGUCAAGCUUUAAUAUUAUUAUAUUUUCCUUUAUAAACACAACUAAAACUCUCCCAUCUCAUUUCUCUUGGCCGGCCAAGGCAAGAACAAAAGGGAAAAAGCAUAGAACAAACCCUAGAGAAGAAAAUCAAGAGAAAAUUCAUUGGAUUUCAAGGAAUUAAGCAAGUAAAGGUAAAAUUUCUUAAUUCUAGCUUGUGAUCUACCUUUCCUAUGCAUUCUUUUUCAAUUACAAUGGUUAAAAUUCAAGAUCUCAUGAAGGAUUCAUGGCUGACCGAAUUUAGGGAGAGAAGAUUUGAUGAUUUAUUUGGUUAGAUUUCAAGGUAUCUUAGUGUUUUUAGUUGUUUGGUGAUGUUUAGCAUGAAAAACAAGCAAGAAAUUUCAUGCCCUUCACCCACACUCCUUGGCUGAAAUUUUCAAGAGAGAAAUUGGAUAAUGGACUUUGAUGAAUUUCAUGCUAUUUAGGUGUUUUUAGUUGUUUUAUGAUGUAAGGUGUAAAAAUCAAGCAUGAAAAUUACAUGUUCUACACUAAACCUUCAAUGGCCGAAUUUUACAAGGAAGAUAUUGAUGAUGGAUUUUUGUGAUAUUACAUAUUAUUUAACUUGUAAUUGAUGACUUGGAGUGUUGGAAGUGGAAUCAAGUUAAUUGGAGUUGAAUUGGAUGUAUUGGCCAAUUAACCGGUGUAUAGAUCGAAUUAGGCCAAUACCAUUUUAUUUCGAUACAUAAUUGAAGCUACGUAGAACACCAUAUUUAGAUAAUAAUCCGAACAUUUCGCAUCCCAUUUCAUGCAUUCAUAUAGAGCCUAAAUUAGUUUUAUAACGGUUUAGUACAAAUAUAGUAAAUUGCUUGUUGUGCAUUAUGUUUAGGUGGUGAAACUUCCGAUAAGGGUAAGGAAAUUGUACCUGAAGAUUGGGACUAGGAGUACUUCGACUCUCGAUAUUGUGAGUAACCUUAUUAUCGUCUUAAUUAUCUAAAGUAGUUUUUAUUCGUUUUUGUGAUUUUAUAGAAAAAUGAGUUUAAAUGGUAAAUCCUUAUGUUUUAUAAGUAAAAUGUGAUUAAAUGAAAUGAGUUUUAUAAAUCAUUUUGAAAUUGAAUGAUGAUUUUAGAAAUUGAGUAAUUGGAGACUGUUUGAUUGUGUUGUAAAUUUAUGGUUUGAAUUGAAUGGCUUAUGGUGAUAUUGGCAUGAAUGGCUGAAUUGGAAAUUGUGUUGAAAUUGUAUGAACUGUUUGUUUUGCCUUAACAGGCUGGGUAGUAAUAUAAUUGCCAUGUCAUGCUGUCAAAACUUUUAUUGAUUUGGUGGGAUAUUGAUUAGUCACUACAGUGGCGGGUUUCCGUGGACCAGCCUAUUAGAGAGGGGCACGAUAAACCCGGUUAUAUUUUAUCUCGGUACGAGAGGUGCAGAAGGUAUCUCCUGAGGUAAGUUUUAGAGUUCACUACACGCUAAACCACCACGUGAGGGUGAACUCAGCCAACACCAAGGAACGACUAUGCUUUUAACGUAAAAAUGUGUUUUAUGCAUAUAUGAACUUUUCUUUAACAGCCUUAGCGGACUCGGUUGGAUACCUCAACAAAGGUAUCCCCGAGAAUGAGUUUUGGCACGAGCCAAAUUUUUAAGAAAUUCAUAAGCCAUGUUGAUUAUUUGAGUGAAAUGAAAUUAUUUUAUUUAGUUGAAAUGAGUUUGAAACGUUAUGAAUCAUAGUACGAUGAACUAUUUUAAGUUGUCUCCAUUUACUCGACUUUAGAUAUUUUAGAUGAUGUUUGUUUACUCACUGAGUUUAUAUAAACUCACCACCCUCCUUUCCACUCAUUCCAAGAUCAGGACAGUCUGUAGAUAGCUGAUUUCAUCGAGGAUCUACUUUAGGAUUUACAUCCUUAGAAAUCAAAGGUCUACCUUCUUGUACAUAUUUGUUUAUUUUGGGGGCCCACAUGUCAUUGUAGAAUAUUUUGUAUACAUGGCUGCGUGUGCCAUUGUAUGUAUGAAUAUAUUUUGCUUUUACGCUAGAAAAAUUAUUUACGUAGAGUUCUAUAAAUAUUGUUUUAUAAGAAAAUGGAAUAUUUCAUUUAAUAUUUUUAUUUUAUUCGAUUAGCUACAAUUUCACCCUAAAUGAAUGUUUUAGACAUAAAAACUUUUUUUUAGUUAUGAAAUGUGUAUUUUCCCCUAUAUAUUAUAUUUUCAGCAAGUUUCAAAAUUUUUGAGAAAAAUGACCAAAAUGCCCUUGUGAGAUAGAAAAUAUUUUUUUUUAUUAUUGUUUUGAUUUGGAAAUAGCUUAUAAUCUUUUAAAAUAUGAUAUUUAGUAAUUAUUGCUCACAAGGGAGGUGCGAAAACUGAUAUUAAGCCUUGCGAGAUUUCGGUUGGCAUUUAGGGUAAUGAAUGUCUAUCGGGACAUCGCGACGAUUGUCACGGGCUUGAGGAGAGUACCGGGUCAUGACAGUUGAACAAAAGAUCCCUUAGGAACCCAGACUUUCUUAACUUUCUGCACUAUUCAUUUCUUAAAACACUCAUAUGAUAAAUGACCAUGUUUACCACAAUUAUAACAUCUAGGUAAUACUUUAGCUGAAUUUUUAUUGUGGUAUACAUCUCUUUUUGAAGAUUCAUUUUUCAAACAUUUAAGAGCUGUGUUUUCAUUAAGAAUUAUUUGCAAAGCUUCAGACUUGUUUUUCAGCUCUUGUUUUAAAACCUCAAAGUCUGUUUUUGAGUGUUCUAACUCAACUUGCAAAAUAUUUCUUUGCUAAAAAACAUAAGUAACUUCUUGUUUGAUUUGUUCCAAAUCAUUUUCAAGUAAUGCAGCCUUUUUCUUCAAUGAUUUGUAUUUUGAAAAAAGUUUUUCAAAUUCAUCAUAAAGGCACUCAUACUCAUCUUGUAAAUCAUCAUAAGAAUUAAUGCAGGAGGAUGAGGAUACCUCUAUUUCAUCCUCUUGUGCCAUUAAACAGAUGUUUGUUCUUUCCUCAAAUUUUCCAUCAUCAGUUUCAGAGCUUGAUGUGUCAUUGUUUGACCAUGCAGCUGCCACCAUUGCUUUCUUGGGUUUCUUAUUUUUCUUGGGAGUUUCAUCUUUCAGCAAUGGACAUUCGGACUUGAAGUGACUAGGUUUCUUGCAUUCGUAGCAGAUCAUCUCCUCUUUUUUGUUGGAGCCAUUUUUGUUCCUUAUUUUCCAUGAAGCACCUUGAUCUUUCCUGAAACCUCUUCUAGCUAGCCUUCGGAUUCUUCUGCUCAUUAGCUUUCUGAAUUUUCUUGCAACCAGAGCUAAUUCUUCAUUAUCAUCACAGGAAAGCUAUUCCAACUCUUCUUCAAGGAUGUUGGCUUUAAGUGCAAUACUCUUUUUCUUUUCCUUUACUUCCUUUCGGUCUUCUUCUUCUUCUUCUUUAAGCUCUAGCUCAUGAGUAAGACGAAAACCACAAAUCUCAGCAAGUGUGAUGAUGUUCAGAUCUUUAGCCUCUCUAAUGGCAGUCACUUUAGGCUUCCAGUUUGUUGGUAGACUCCUAAGUAGUCCCUUAACUAAUUCAUGUUUAGGGAUAGGCUUGCCUAGCUGACUCAAUUUAUUUGUGAUGUUUGUAAACCUAUCAAACAUGCUGGUGUUAAGAGAGCAAUUUUGGACUCCUUUACUUGAGAAGUCCCUUCAUGGAUUAUUCUAAGUUUUCCCACACUUGUUUAGCUGUUGUAUAGCUUGAGACUUUGUUAAAUUCAGUGGGGGUUAAUGCACAAUGUAAUGUGUUGAUAGCCUUAAAGUUUAUUUGAACUUUCUUAGUUUCAGCCUCAAUCCAUUCAGACCUUGGCUUAGGCAUCAACUCAUUUGUCACCACAUUCACGGUUGAGGACAUAAAGGGUCCAUCAGUUAUGACGUCCCACAUUUCAUAGUCUAUAGCUUUAAUGUAAAUUGAUAUUUUACUGCUCCAAUAAGGGUAAUUAGAGCCAUCAAACAGAGGUGGUCUAUUUGUUAAUUGUCCCUCAGCCCCUACUGAUUUUUGGAAAGCCAUAUGGAUCCUCCAUAAGGAUGUUAAGCCUUAAUAACAGGGAACUAGCUCUGAUACCAAUUGUUGGUCCCUAUAAUAUGUGCUAGAGGGGGGGUGAAUAACACAAUUUGGCUUUUAACAAUAUUGGAAGAUAAUUUUCAAAACUUAAGAAAAUAAAAACAGAGUAUAAAAUGCACAGCAAUUUAGAGUGGUUCGGUCCAAGACCUACAUCCACUACCUUGAUUGUCCAACCAAGGAUUUUUCCAUAAAUUCACUAAGAACCGGUGAAACUCACAAGCUUUCACCAAGCUUUACAAUGGCUUUUACUAGGCUCAGCCACAACCUUUUACACUAGUUUUUCAUGGGCUUAACUAAAACCUAGAGUGGUUUUCCAAGGCUCAACCACAACCUACAACAAUCAAGCUAUUCCAAGCUUGAACAACCCCUUAGAGUGACUCCCUCACUCUAAGAAUACAAAAGAAAUAGUAAAAGAAGGUACCUAUGAUCACUGGUUGAUCUGAGUGGUACACGAUUGAGUGCUAAAUACAAAUGCACGGACUAGGCGUUUAAGUGCAGACAAGUGCAGUGAAGCGUUUUUGGUUUUUCAACUUUCUAUAGCUCAAAUCUCUUUCAAGGCUUCUCUAAACUUGUUUCUAGUUGUUGGAAGACCCUUUUAUACUUGGAGAUGCAACUUUAAUGGCAGUUUGACAGUUUAUGGCCGUUGAAAACAGUUGAGGAUGAGUUCUAGCUGUUAAUCUGUCUUGUAGUGCUCUGGUUCAAAUUGCAGAUAAAGAGCUUUUAGUUGAUUGACUUGGUUGACUAAGUUGGUUCUGUUUCAGGUUGCAGAUUCUGGCAGAGAGCAGUUAGUCGACUGAUUUGGUCGACUAAGUUGAUUCUGUUUCUCAAACUCUUCAGCCCGUUAUUCCUCCAAUUUGAAACUUGGUCAACCAAUCUUCUUCCUUGUUUCAUCAAUAGGCUUCCCCCUUUUUAGAUAGUUACAUCUUGUCAUUUUUAUUUCUCUUUUUCUUUUGAUAAACUCUUUGAGGAGUUAAAUGAUUAAUUUCAUAUAUCAAUUUUCCUGCACACUCAAAUAAAGAUAUUAGACACAAAUGAAUGAAAAUAUUUUAUUAUUAUUAAAAACUAAUGGAGCCAAUAGGAGGAUGAAGAAUGCUACAUGAUCAUAUUAUUAUGCCAAGUUAUUAUGUCAUGUCAUCAUGAGUUAUAAUACGUUAACAUGUCAUAUUAUUAUUAAUUAUGAUAUAUUAACAUGCCAUGUCAACACCGCAUGACAUAGAAUAGCAAAUGGUUAAGUCAACCAUUAGUCAUAAGACUUAUUUGACUCAAAAUAAAAGUAUAAGAGCUUGUUUGGCUCAAAAAUAAAAGUUUAAGGGCUUGAUUGAACGUAAUAAAAGUAUAAAAACUUACUUGAAUAUUCUUAAAUAAUUUAAGGACUUUUUGAAUAUUAUACCUUAAAAUAAAGUAAAAAAAAGAUAACCAAACAAUGCAAUUAGGGUAGAAAUGUGCAAUCUUCUUUCUUUGGAUUGGGCUGGUAAUUGGAAAAAUGAUAAACCUCCAAGAGGGCUUUAGUUUGAGUCAAGCUUGAUUAGGCUGAAAGGGCCUAAUUCCUUCAUUCUUUUUUUUUUCUUUUUUUUCUCCCUUUGCCCAAACUAUGUCAUUUUGGUAUAGCCCUUUUUAUUUUUUUUCAUUCCCCCACUUUUGCCCUUUUCUCUUCCCUUUUCCAAACCACUCUGCAUUAAAAAAUCUAGUGUCGGCUAAAACAACCUUUAGAAUGGCUAGAACCAUGCUUAAGACGCGUUGGAAAUGACCUCAUAGUAGUUCACUAAAUUUACUUAUUAGACAUUUAAACAUUAGAAGUAGAGUUUUUAUUUUGGAGAUCUCAUAUACUUUUAAAACAAAAGACAUAAAAAUUAAAGGAAAUUGUUAGAAAUAGUCCUACUGAUAAGACCAUUUCAAAAAUAGCCAUCAAUAUAAAGUUAAACUGUUAUUACACAAGCCAUAAGUUGACAAAAUUGCCCUUAAAGAAUUUCAAAGAAAUUAAUCUCCUGAUUUCUCCCUCUUUUCAUAUAGAGAAAUUAAAUGCUUUGUCAGCUAUCUCAACUCCCUAAGCUCCCUCAAUUCUCGUACCUCUCUCUGCUCCCUCAAUUUUCUCAUAUAUCUCAACUCUAUCAGAUCCUUGAGUUAUCUUAGCUCUCUCAUAUCUCUCAGCUCUUUCUUACCAUCUAGGUAUCUUUAAUUUGAGCACCAUCAUCAUCGCGCUUUGGUUUAUCUCUUACCAUCUUGCCAUAUCGACAUAUCGUCGUCGAUAUUGUGAGGCCCCAACCUCUAUAGGCUUGUAACUAAGCAUUGAUGUAAUAACACGAGUUAGGGGUAGUUUCAUCAUUUCCUCUAAUAAGCUCCCAGAAAAUUUUUUUAUUAUAUUUUAAGGUCUAAAUAGGCGUGAGACUGCAUAAAUGAUGUGUAAUAAUGAAAACACGAAGAAAACUAGAAGUUUCAAUAAUUUUCAUAAUAGGGGCAAAAUGGUCAUUUUUCACCUCGGGUUAGAAUUUUUAAGUUUUCAUGAACUCAAACAUUUCUAGACCAUUAUGGACCUUGUCCCAGUGUCAAAAGAGUAAAAAGAUUGCAUAAAAGAUUAAAGGAGAAUAAGCUAAUUUGUGGAGGGGUAUUUUGGUCAUUUAAGUGGAGUGGAUAAGCUUGGGCUAUAAAUAUCCCUUUCUUCCAGCAGCUUCUACAUUCUCCAACAGCUUUUCUUCUGCUUCUUCUUCUUCUCUUUCACGUUGCUUCCCAACCUCCAUGAAAGCUUGAUAAGAAAGCUCCACACCUUCCUCAAAUAGCUCCAAAUUUCAUGCUUUUGGUGCACCUUUUCAAUAAACCCUUGUGCUCUUCCAUUCUCUCACUUUAAAACCCUUGAAAAAUCUUGUUUUCAUACUCUCUCUCACUAGUUAGGUGUUUUAGAGAGAGAAAGAGGAAGCUUUAAAAUAGUUUGGAGAAUUAUUGGAAAGGAUUUCAAAGUUUUAAAGCUAUUAAGGUGAGUAGUAAAUUUGAGUUGAAAUUUAGUGUUGAGAAUAACUAGAGAUUUGAUUUGUGAAUAUUUUGUAGUUGAGAUUGUUAAUUCACUUUGGAAUGAUAGGAUAGUGAAAAUAGAUAGCCAUUUAAUGGCCAUUUGAAGUAAGCUAAGAGAAAGCUUUUGGACUAUAUAAGUAUGUGAAUUAACAUAAUUUUGAUGUUAAUGUGAUGAUACGUUCCAACGAAGCCACAUCGUCCCAAUUGGACUAUUAGGGAAGUUAGAGUCGAUUAAAGGCUCAAUAAACAUCAGUGAGUGGACUUGCAUUUUAAUAACUGUUUUGGGAAUGUAAACUUAUUUGCACUAUAUACUUGAAUAAUUUCAUUUGAUUUUCUUUAAAAACGAGUGCUUUGGGAACAAGCCUUUGAUAAAUUGAUUUUAUGAUGUGACAUGUGGUUGUUAUGGAUGGUUGAACUACUACACUAUNNNNNNNNNNNNNNNNNNNNNNNNNNNNNNNNNNNNNNNNNNNNNNNNNNNNNNNNNNNNNNNNNNNNNNNNNNNNNNNNNNNNNNNNNNNNNNNNNNNNNNNNNNNNNNNNNNNNNNNNNNNNNNNNNNNNNNNNNNNNNNNNNNNNNNNNNNNNNNNNNNNNNNNNNNNNNNNNNNNNNNNNNGAGAGAGAGAGUGUAUAUAUAUAUAUAUAUAUAUAUAUAUAUAUAUAUAUAUAUAUAUAUAUAUAUAUAUAUAUAUAUAUAUAUAUACAUAUACGGUAUAUGGUUGUAAUGUAAAAAUGUGAGCAUUUGAAUUGUUGAAAUUUGGGAGUUUGUAUGUGUUACAUGUUGCUUUUGUUAUUUUAGCAAGAUGGCUUUGAUUUAAGGGAAAAGGAAACUUUUUUCUUAAUGUUUUGAUUCUUGUUGCAGUUAGAAACUCUCAGGUUUGGAGGGGUGGUGUUGGUCGAGAAUCUGGCUGCAGCGAGAAUGUUACUGUAGCAUCUCGCUGCAGCGAGAAACUUUCUGUUUUAGAACCCAAAAAUUUCACUGAAUCUCGCUGCAGCAAAAAACUCUCUGUUUUUCUCCUCAUUUGGUUCGGUUGCUACCCUAUUUUCUAUUUCUUUGGUACCAUAGUUGAGCAUGGACUUCCAACAUUAAGGAAUAAAUGAAUUAAGUUUAAAAUGAGGAGGUUUGGUGAGAAACCCUCGGCUAGACAAUAAUUUAAGUCAACUGUCGUUGCAGCGAGGACCCGUCAUUUAUUUGACUUGAUUCACAUGAAUGCUAUUAAAGUUUUCACUUUUCAAAUCAUUUGUUGAGCAUGGACUCUUUUCAAUAAGUGAUUUUUUCUCAUGUGGUGUUUACACGAGGGGUUUAAUAAGAACUCAAAUAAAUUGCAUUGUUUUGAAAAAUGAAUACAUUAUGAUUUCGUUAAACAUUCCUUAUGGUAUGCUUAUUCCCUUCUUAUUCACUCAUUGGGUUUAUACUCACCAUUUUCAACUUCAUGUUUUCAGAUCACAAGGCAGCUGGUAACUAGGUCAAAGUGUCUUCAUAUAUUCGACCCUUGGUAGGUGUCUCGGCAUUCAGUAGCUGUACAUUCGUCCGAGUCUCUCCGCUGGAAGUCGAGUAUUCUUUUGUUGUGUAUAGACAAACCUAAUGUAAAUUAUUAAGAUACAUGUUGUAGACAAUGUAUAUACACUUGUUUGGUAUGCCAGUAUGAGGUGGCAAUGUUUAAUAUUAUUUUGAUCCUAAGUUAUGAAAUGUGACUUAGCAAUUUAUGAUGGAAUGAUGAACACAUCAGAUUAAUAGGCUUGCUUAGGCUUAGUGGACUACAUCCAUUGGGCCCAUGCGUCCGUCAUGGCUCGAAAUUUGGGUCGUGACAAAUAUAUAGACCUAAGAGUAAAUAUGACAUUAAGGUAUGUUAUUGGGUUUAUUACUUUUGACAGAACCACAAAGUUGAUGGAAAACCCACUCCAAUCAUUUCUUAAACUUUGUUUGUAAAUUAAAACGUUGCCUAGAGUUGUUACACACAAUGCUUGUAUGUAAUAGCUUUAAUGCACAUGGUGUGUAAAACAUAGAGUGAACGUUGCAUGGUGUGUAACAUCAUAUUUUGUGUACAUGGUGUGUAGUAAACAUGUUGUGUAGGAAAAUGGAUGAACAUGGCGUCUAGAAAUUUGUUUUUUGUUAACAUGGCAUGUAAUAACGUUUUUUCAAUAUGAUGUGUAGCAACAUUUUAGAACUUGGAGUGUGUAUGGUUGCUGAUAAAUUGAUUUAUUUUUUUCGAUUUAGGAGAAUACAGUUAACGAUGUAUGCCUAUUACAGGUAACAUAAAUUGCUUACGAGCACUUGCAAGCUGUUUGCAGUGAACUUUCUUUCAUCAUUCAAUACUCGAUAAUUAGUGGUUGUGAAAAGAGAAGAAAAUUGCUAUUUUUGUUAUGUAGGGAAAAACAAGCCCAUUGAUUACCAUGUCUUGUGCGAUGAUGAAAAAACUAGUAUCAGAUAGAAUAAGCAUAUCAUAAUAUUAACAGGAAAGCCUAGUUGACUUGGAUUUCGGCAUGAGAUAAAAAUAAAAAUUUGUGGGGUGUUAAAUGGUACUAUGAAUAUCAAACCUACCAAAUUUUUUUGAACAUGACGUGUAAGAAUAAAAUGUUUUCAAUGGAGCAUGUACAAAAUUUUAAAACAGGCAUGUAGCAAUGUAAUGUGUAAAUGUAUUUUGACCUUUAUUUUUUUUUACAUUAUAGUAGUAUACCAAUUGUGUGACUUGUGAUAAGACACGGUGGUCAUUAGAUCAAUGUCAUUUACAAGGGUGGUGAGUCACAAAUGUUGGGGGUUAGGAGUGAUUUGUCGUUUGGGGGCCUAAUGAAGUUGGUAGAAAAUGUUGUUGGGGUACAUUCAUAGAAACACAAAAUCGAGUUACAUGCAUUAAUUAGUAUACUGGGAAAGCUAUCACGACUAGUUAUCAAGGAUGAUGAGGAUGUUGCAUUAAUUCUGUUAGAGCAUAGGAAUGUUCCAAUAGUAUACAUCAUUAUUAAGGAACGCCAUAUAAAUGUUUUGCCAUAUAAAGAAGCUGUACAACAUGGUAAUCACUUCAAUCAAAAUCAGAUUUACACUCUUUCACAAAUACUACAAAAUUCAGUCCCUAACCCACAACAAUGGCAAGUGAUGUAUGCACAUAAGUUUGUGUAGCCCGAUAGACACAUGACAUUCUCACAACAGUUGGUUGCAAAAUUUUGAUUAGCAUGUGCAUUGAACCAAUUACUUACUUUUGUCCAACCAAUGGAACGCUCAGGUGAAGACGACAUGAUGAUGCUCGAGGACAACACUACGACGCAUAAAGAUGGCACGACGAUGCUCAAGGACAUUAAUGCAUCUAAUUAGGGUGAAGACGGUUGGUUCCCUACUGGAGAAGAUAGCUUUGAUGACGAUUUUGAUGGUGGGCUAGAUGGCUGGCAUGAUGAUAGUUUAGAGGAUGACUGGGUUGACAAUAGUGACAUUCUGAAUUGCAAUCAUUUGGAAGGCGAAACAGAACAUGGUGGAGUUAUAGAUUUAGGAGAUGUUCAGUGUGAUGACCCCAUAGACAAUAACCCCAUCGCUGAUGAGAACAAGAUUAGUUCGCCUGAGACAUUACUUGAUGACAUUCAUCAAGAUAGGGGAAGUGUAGGGGUAUCUUACACGUGGCAUAUUUUGGGUGCAGAAAUGUUCUCUUUACAAAUAGUUACCACACAGGAGUCCACAUCAACUGAUGAUCGCUUAUACUGAGAAAAAAUGUUUUCCUUGAAGGUCGAAUUGAAAUGAGCUUUAAACCUAUUAGCACUAAAAAAACAGUUCGAGCUAAGAGUUAAAAGGUCAUGUCAAAUUUGUUUUGAGGUUGCUUGUAAGGACAAGGCAUGCAAUUUUGAUGUGCGUGAAAUAAAGUUACCUAAAGGAGAUUAUUGGCAAGUUUAAACUUUUCACAUGGUACACAUGUGUUCUGUCGAUGGUUUGCAAAGACGAUUUUGAACCAUGAGUGUGAAGAUAAUUAGUGAACUUAUGUCACAUAAGCUUCAGGCUAAUGGAGUAGCAUUGGGACUUAAGGACAUAAUUAGUGAGAUAAGGGUUCAUUGGGGAUUGGAAUGCUUGUAUGGUAAGGCCUGGCAAGUGAAGAAGUAUGCAAAAAGGCUUGUUUUUGGUCCUUCAAGGAAGUCAUUCCAGCUCUUACCAUUGUAUUUCCAUAUGUUGAAAUGUAAAAAUUUUGGUACAGUCACAAUAGUGGCUACUGAUGAGGCACAAUGAUUCAAAUAUUAUAUUUGGUCAUAUAGGGCUUGUAUCCAGGGGUUUGAGGAUGCAAUGCGUCUUGUAGUUGCUAUUGAUGCCAUGCAUCUGAAAGGUAGGUUCAAGGGUGUUCUAUUUGUGACUGUCUAUAAAGACAUGAACUAGUGCAUAUAUCUGGCUGCAUUUGGCAUAGGCCAUGUUGAGGACAAAGACUUAUGGACUUGGUUUCUUAGCAACCUGUGUCGUGCGGUUGGUUGUCUUAAUAACACAAUGUUCAUUUUUGAUCAGCAUCUUGGCAUCAAGAAAGUAAUCCAUAAUGCAUACCCAAAUGCCUAGCAUGGUUUAUGUGGUUACCACAUGGAGAAAAUCUUCAAAAACAAGUUCAAACAUGAUGACGUUUUAGUGGUUUUCACCUUUGCUCAAGACUGUUACAAGGUUUCUGAUUUUAAUAAACAUAUGAACCAGCUGAAGUAAAUACAUGCAGGAGCCAACUCUAACCUUAUGAAAAUAGGCCUUGAGAGAUGAGCACUUGUACGGUCACUGAUAAAGCGAUACCAACUCAUGACAUCCAACAUUGAGGAAUGCGUUAACUUAUGCUUGAAGAAUGCAAGACAAAUACGAAUCAUUGUUAUGAUCGAGUUCACCAGAGACAUGUUUUAACAUUGGUUACAAGAUCGGUACUAGGAGGCCGUUAAGGUGAGCACUCCCCUCAAGUUUUGGGCUAUGAGGUAGUUGAGUAAACGGUUCAAUGAUGCUCAUCACUUUGUAGUUAAAUCAUCGAUUGAAUGGAGUUCGAAGUUAAAUAUGUAAGGAUUGACGGACUUGUAAACCUAUCCAGGAAAAUGUGGUAUUGUUGUGAGUUCUUGUAACAACUGCUCCUCGAUCGCUACCGGAGUUCGAGUCUUGCGGGAGAACUCGCUAAGUCCUGACCAAACAUUAAUUGAAACUUUAGUUAUUACUUCAUAUUGAUGCCAUCAAUCUAUGAAAUUACUUUGAACCGUAUAACUCUUUAUAGUAUAGUUUGAACAAAAGGCAUUAUAGAUCGACUUAACUUUUAUUCCUCAUAAUUGUAAAAGUACAUCAAGGUUUACAAACUCGAAAUGUACAUUGCAUUAACACUAUUGACAAACAAUAUACACUAUGAAUGACUCAACUUCUAACAUUGGAGUGACUUGGAAUAAGGUGCUAUGAGAUGCUUUUACCUAUUCACAGUGGACAAUAUGUGCUGAUGAACACACGCUACACCGAUCACUAUCUGUAAAAGGGGAAAUAAGGGGGUGAGUCUCACAGACUCAGUGAUCAUUGGCUCGUGAGCAAGGCGUAGAUGGGAAACAAGCUAGGGACAGAAGAUUUGAAUAUUAAAACAUAAGAGUAUAUAUAAACAAUUUAACUCAAAUGAAGCAUUUGUGCCUUAUAUGUAAACCCAAGAAUUUUGAUGCAGAAUUAUCAUUUCAAAUUGUAUAAUAAAAUCAAUGCAAAUGAAAGAUUUCUACUGUCGAAAUCAUUUAAUCUCCUUUACUUAAAAUCAUACUAAUAUAAGCUCGCACGCUCCUCUUAAAUCAAUCAUUAUCAAAGCUUAUACGUAAGCUCAUAAACCAUCUCAUCCUCGAGGUAUUAAACAUAAAAUCAUUGUAUAAUAAAGGAGCUGCGAAAAAACUUGUAUUUCUCACCAUGCGAAAGAAUUGAUAUUUGAAAACCCAAAGAGACAUCACACUCGAGUAGGUAAUAGUAAUAAUAAACUCAUGGACCAUCUUCCAGGUAAUAACAUUCGAAGGGCCCUCCUUCAUUGGAUUCCUAUAUCCAUGGCAAUCUCGACAAUGUAGGCCUACAUCAGAGAAAUUGUCACAGCCCAAUUUUCAGGCCAUGAUCGGCGUAAGGGCCCAAUGGGCUCAGCCCACUAAGCCCAAGCAAGCCUCUUUGUAUAAUCUUAUACAGUAAUUCAUAUACCUUUAAAAUCCAAAAUUCAUAAUGUUCAAAUAUAGUCCCUUUGAAAACAAUUCAUAAAACCCAAUUAUGCAUUCAUAAUGGCAUCAUCUACCAUAAUAUACAUAUAUAGCUUGACCAAUGAAUAUUAGUAUUUCACUUUAAGUAUUCAUAUACACAUAAUUAGGCCUUGACCGUCAACGGAGUGACUUUGGUCAUGGUUGCUAACAUUUAAUGUCAUGGUAAACCUACCGAGCAAUGGAUAGGGAGGAGCACCUUGUCCUAGGAUCAUCACCUUUAACUCAGGGAACCUGGAUGAGCUUGGAGGCAUGAAGAUCAACAAAAAAAACUUUCAACCUUGAAAAUGAAGAUUUGAAGCCAAAAAUCCAAGUGUUGUUGAAAGUGAAGUAGAAGUAGAAAUAGAAAAUAAAGGAAAGAAAACGAGAUUUUUCUUUCUCUCUCCUUGGGUUUGGAAGUGCUGGAAACUGGGUUUAGAAGUUAUAACUUUGGUGCACAAGGAGUUGGGAGAAGAAAGAAGCAAGAAGAGAAAGGAAAUGAAAAGAAAACAAGGAAAGAAAAUGAAAGAAAAUUAACUUUCCAUGGGAGAAUGAGGGAAUGGCGUUGGAAGCUUCAAGAAUGAAGAAGAAACAUGACCAAACUUUGUGUAAAAUUACCGUUUUGCCCUCCAAGUUUCUUCCCUUUUUCAUUUAGUCCUCCCAACACUCAUUUAACUCCAAUUUCCUUCUAUUAUCUUCUUCUACACAUGUACAAACAAAGUAUAAAGUUUGUACUCCAACGCGGUGUCCCCAUAAUAUUUAAAAUAUUUAUUUACUUGCGCUAUCUUUACUUAAUAAAGACACGUGACCCAAUUAACGUUAUUUUUCUCCGAAAUUUUCUCAUUCCUCUUCUCCCCCACUUAGAUUGACCAUAUAUUCCUCAUUCAUGGAAAAUUUUGACAUUGAAUAAAAUAUUAAUAUUUUAAUAUUAUUUUAUUCCAAAAAUUUUCUAUUGUCUCCUUGGUACCCAAAAUACCUUAUUAUGCCUCAAUUCACUUCUGAAUCACUUUUUAUCUCACACAUUCUUUCUCGAUAAAAAUAUUAUUAUUUUAUUAUUAUUUCCUCGUGUGCGAAAUAUUUUAUCCCAAAUUAUUCCUUUCAUCUUUCAUCACUUCUAAACAUUAUAAUUAACCUAAAUUGGCAUCCGAUAAGCUUUAUUAGUCACCAUAGCAAAGUACGGGGCAUUACAAUCUCCCCCACUCAAAUAAAAUUCGUCCUUGAAUUUUUCUCAACGUCGGGUUGUUAAUCUCCCUCAAUGAUAUUAUUCCAUAUCCUUCUUCAUAGGGAAUUUUGAUUUACGCACUUCAUUACCUUCAAUUUGACUAGAACACUUUACAAGAUCAAGGUAUGUAUCUUAUAUCUAUUAUCAUCUUUGAUUCAAAACCGCGAUACCAUUUUCAAUUGUUCUUUCUUAUCACUAAGAUCCCAAGUAUGCCUUUAAUUUCGUCAUUAACCUCAAACAUAUCUUUAUUUCGAUUCUUGUCAAACCUUCAAUCAUUCAUUCAUCUUAUCCCUAUACACUAUUAUGUAACUUGCAGCAUUAUAAACAUGCCAUAUUCAUUUCUAUACAUAGUCUCAACGUCGAGAAAGGUUAAUGCCUCCAAUUAUUCCCACAUACUCAUGUUUACCUUCAAUUUCUGCAACUUCAAUCUGCUUAAUCGUAUUAGUCCAUUUUGUAUGGCUUAACCACGUUAUAGAUUACAUUUCCUUGGUAUCAUUUCUUUGACUAUUUCUCCAAAAUUUCUUAUAUCAACAUAACUCAACUUCUGAUGGGAUAUUUUAUCGUUGUACUAUCUAUACAACUAAUCAAUUAUUGAGUUCAAAUCUCAAAUUACUUAGAACAAUUCCUCACCUCAGUUGGUCAAGUCAUCAAUUUCACAUAUACGUAUGUACAUGCAUUUUCAAAUGUCAACAUUCCUCGUUACGCAUAGGGAUCCAUGUGUUAGCGUGCCUUGGACUACAUCUCCCUUUAUUCAUCCUCAUCCCUAUCCAAGAUUGAAUAUAAUAAUCCUCAUAAUGCAUGUCAACAUUCUUGUUAUGCCUGUGCAUAACUUCAUAUCAUUUAUAUCAUUUCCCAUUUAUAUGCUUGAGUUUCAUCGUACUAUAUAUAUCCUUGCAUCACAAUGUCAUUAAUCACAUCUCACUUGCUAAAUGUCAUUUGCAUUAAAUUGUAAUCCGAUAUUCGUAUAUACUUUAUAAUCUCGUUGAUUUUUCAAAGGUUUAUCUUUAUUGGAUCAUUGCAUCUUAUGCAAUACCACAAUCCCUAAAAGUCAUCCUUAUUUCUCAAUUAUUCUUCAUACCUCUAAUAUGUAUAUAUAUAUAUAUAUAUAUAUAUAUAUAUUAUAUCCUUGUUGCAUUUCGACUUUAAUGAGUCACUUAAAACUUAGACUCAUUCGAAUCGUGCAUGCCUUAAGCAUUUUUGAAUUCUAAUUUCCAUACUACAUUAGGAAGUUUUCAUUAUUGGACUUCACUAUCAGAUUAUCUUCAAUCAUCCUUUGUUGUAUUCUUCCAUACUAAUGUGACAUCAUUCUCCCUGGACUAAUUAGCAAUUUGUACUUGAAACUGCAAGACUUGAAACGAGGUCCUCUUUAAGUACUUUUCAAUGUCAAUAUGAAUCUCACUUUCAGUUUACGACUUCUUCUUUAUAACCACAUAACUUAACGCUUGCUUUCACAAGAUCCAUAGUAGAACUCUUAUUGAGAAUUUCCUUGGGGAUACUUAUCUUAAACUUAUGUCUCAUCGCAUGUGAUCUUAAACUUAUGUCUCACCACAUGUGAUCACUUAACCCAUGACUUAGUCGUUAGGCUCCUCAGCAAGUUUUUAAAAAUCUCACAUUUUAUACUCGCCGUGUAUGAUUGGUAAUUCCUUUUCAAAGAUGUUUGUGCGUUCCUUAAACCCUUAAAGAUAUAUAAAGACUUAUUCUUAUUCUUAAAGAUAUAUAAAGAUGUUGUUACAUGCAUAUUCCAUCCUCCCACACAAUCUAAUUUUCCUUGGUUAGUUAAUUUCCUUUUAACUUCAAAAGUUAAAAUUACACAUAAGUCUUCAAACUUUUUCUUAUUUACCAUUUGACCCUCCAAGUUUUCAUCCUUUAUAAUUAGGUCCUUCAAAUAUUUCUUUAAUGCCAAUUUCCUUCUAUCUUUCUUCUUUUACACUUGUACAAAAAAAAUAUCAAAUUGACACUUCACCAAGGUGUCAUCAUAAUAUUUUAAUAUAUACUUACCCGCUCUUACUUUAUUUAAUAAAGGCAUGCGAGCCCCACUUAGGUCGUUUUUCUUUAAAAUUCCUUUUUACUUCUUCUCCGUCACUUAGACUAGUCAUAUAGUCCUCCUUCAUGACUAAUUUUAACAACAAAUAAAAUAUUAAUAUUUUAAUAUUAUUUUAUUAAUAAAAUAUUAUUUUAUUAAUAAAUUCACCACUUGUCUCCUUGGGUCACAAAGUAUCUCACUUUGUCCUGGUUCACAUCCAAAUCACCUUUUAACUCACCAAUUCAUCUUCGAUAAAAUAUUAUUAUUUAAUUAUUAUUUUUCUUGCUUGUGAAAUAUUUUAUUUCAAAAUAUUCUUUUCACCCGCCACCGCUCUUUGGCAUUUAAAUUUACGUCAAUUGACCAUUCGUUUUAUUGAUAAGGUCUUAUCGGCCAUGCGAGGUGUUAUAGUUCCAAACAAAUUUACGACCAUGCAGCCAUACCAUUGUGGCAAUAAGGUAUGAAUAUCCUUGUUUCUUAUUUGAUUUGUAAUUAAUUUAGGUUUGACAUUGUGAUUUAACCGUCAGUUCAUUGGAUUCAUAGUUAGUGCAAACGUGAAGUCGUUGAAUUCUGUUUGGACUACUACAAGGCUACUUAUUUGGUGGAGGGUUAUGUUGGGUUUAUUUGCCCGGUUGGGCAUCCUAGUGACUAGGACAUCCCCCUUGAUGUGAAAGAAAUUAUCAUUUUAGCACUACCUUGGCGAGGUCAAGCGAGAAGACCUAGAAGGAAAAGGAUUCUAUCGAUCGGGGAAGGCAAUCGACCACCGAGAUAAUCAUAAUGCAAGAGGUACAAGCAUAAUAGACAAAAUUGCCCAUCGUCGUUUGUAGUUCCAUCCACAAAUCUAGCACCAUCUCCAAGUCAGUCAGCGCUUAGAGGACAGUAAUGAUGGAAAGCUUGUUCAACUUGUAAAGAACUUGGUCACACAUGCAACACCUGUCCAAUACGAAAGAUAAUGUUUGAGAACAUAGGGUGUUUUGUAGAUGAAGACAAUGGGUCAACCUAACUAAAUGCAUGAGUCAUGUCCAGUACCUUUCUUACAUGCAAAGCAAUUCUAGGUGGAACUGUUGAAAAUGUGUAAGUACAAAUGAAUUAUAUGCCAUGCAGCUUAUUACAUUCAUUUUUUUUUUGCUUGUUAUCUAUUAAUGGACUAACUGGAUAUUUUAAUUGCUUGUUAUUUUAGUUUAUUAGUGCAACUAAAUCCUUUUGCUUAUAGGGUAAAUGCAACGGAGGGCGGUAUGGAAGACGGAGUUAGGUAUUGGUCAUAUGAAAUUGUCUGCCUAAGCAAGGUUUAGUAGCUUUAAUAGUAGUUGUUACACGCCAUGCCUUGGUAGGCAAUUGUUGCUAAACGACAUCCAUAUAUAAUCUGUUGUGACAUGCCAUGUCUAUAAUAUGUAUUGUUGUAACUUGAGUUCAAGAGGUACAAGCCAAGUAGACAUGCCAGAAAUGUUGCAAAACGCCAUGCCAAUAAAAAGGUUUGUUACUCGCCAUGCAUUAUUAAACACUGUUAUUUCAUGCCAUUCUACAUCGGUCUUAUGUCAAGAGGGAAGCAUUUGUUGAGACUAAGCAUAUGAUAUAGAGAAAGUACACACAAAAUGUAAUAGUUAUGACAAUUUGAAUAGAGCAUUUCACCCAUAAAUGCCCUGAAGCAUAAAACCUUGUGUAAACCUCAAUUAAUGGCCCUUGCCACUUCAAAGAAAUGCAUAACAAUUUUAUAAAUGCCAUGCAUCCCAUCCAUGCAUGUGUGGAGCACACCUUGCUCCCUACUUGGAAAGUUACGAGCUCUUUUUCACCACAAAAACCUUAACUAUAAAUUACGAUUGAGAAUUUGAUGUGAUAUGAGUAUAUAUUGCUAGCAUCUAAAUGGAUAUGAAUACAUAUUGUUUGGUUAGCAUCUAGUAUGUCCUUUUUCUUGGAUAAUAUGCAGCAGCUUCAACGAAAGCUUCCCACCAGAUGAUCCAUCAGAGUGGGAAUUACCAUCUGAGUGGCAAUUGCAAAGCAUAUGAAUCAUGUCUUUUCUAAACUUGGUGUGAUAAAGAUAAAUAAUGGCAUAAAAUGAUCUUUUUAUAGGGAAAGUUGGAACCUUGCAUGAGAACCUUAACAAUUGUUAUAAAUGGUUUUAUUUAAUUGUUACUGGCAUCUAUCUAAAAUAUUUUUUUUGAUCAAGAAGGAAUCUACACUGUGGGAAGUGCAUUCAUGAAAUAAGUUAUGGGAAUCCUAUUGCUAAAUCAAUUUGUGCGCCUAGUGCAUUCACUUAAGAGGGUUUAGGGUAUUCAUGAACAGCGAUUUAGAGGUUAACAGAGUUUAUAUAGACAUACUAUGCCAUGCUUCAGUCCAUGUUUGAAAAUGCAAAUGCAGGCCAUAUUGAAAAUAAUGCUAUUACCUACAAGACGUCGUAAAUGUGUGAUUUAUGUGUAAGAACAGAUUCGCUUUUAUUCGAAGACUGCCAAUUCUGAUUCUUGAAUGAGGUGAUGACUGAUUAGAUGGAUGUCAGACGUAUGGAUUCCAUAUUUUACUACCUUUAUCUUCUCGACAGGACAUGUGAUAAGGGAUUUGAGAUUAUUGGAAUCUCUUACUUUUGAACCCGUAUUUCUAUCUGUUUCCAUGCAGAUAUUGGAGGAGUUUUGGAGAUAAAAUUUAUUUUUUUCCAUCCUUUUAUUGUAGAUUUAGGGCACUACUAAGGUUGAAGCCCAAGUUAAUGACACCCCAAUUACAAUGGGUAUAUGUCAUGGAUAUUUUUCCACUUAUCACAUUUUCUUCUCAAUAUUAGCCAUGGGGUAUACAAAAUGCUCGAGCAUGAAUUAUGUGCUUUUUGUGAAAAGCUAAACAGAUUUUACUACUGACCCCUUGUUCCAACUCAUUAUUUGUAAAUGAAACAGUGCACAUAAGAACUCCAUGGUCAUUUAGUUUUGCAAUAUUUGGAUAGAUUCAUGGGCCACCUCAAAACAUUGUCAGGUACUGCUUUUUUAUUUACUAAAUGGCAUGAAAAGGGAAAAAACUUGAUACACGCCCUGUAUGAACAGUACGCAAUGGUUGGUAUACGCCAUACCAAUGAAUUAUUAGGUGCUACACGCCAUACCAACGUAUUAUUGGGUGCUACACACCAUGAUUAUGUGUGAUGUGUUAAUUAUUGGUUUAAGGUUUUUGAACAAUUCAGAAUAUAGGCAGAUGUGUUCACAAACUGAAAAGACACAAUGUUUAAAAAAAACACCGCUUCGAUAUCAUCCUUUGUCAUGCACUGAAGUUGUUGAGGGUAAGAUAGGCAUCAUCUUGAAAGUAAAGAAGAGACGUCGAACUCACAAAACUCACUAUUAUCGACCCCGUUUCGUCAAGCGGUGAAUAAUGAAAAACUAAAAGAUGCAAUAGAGAUCUUUGAAACUUAAGGAUGAUAUGAUCCUUGGGAUAUUGGCUAGACUUCCUCCAAAAUUCGUUGUCCAAUUUUGAUGUCUGUCAAAAUCCUUAUACGUUUUAACUAGAAACCCUGUAUUCCAUCCAACAACAUCUCAAUAACUACAACGGUAUGCAACAACUUUGUUUGUGUUUUAAGUUUUCUCCUCAAUCUAUGAGCUUGGAACCAUAUAAGAAAACAACAUCCAAUCUAGAAUUUUCCAUGCCAUAUCCAAAGAAAAAGCGUUCACCUAUACAUUGUCUUGCAUUUUAGGGUCAUGUCAUGACUUGUUGUGUGUUGUUGUGCCAUAGGAAACUAUUAUUCUAUGGAAUCCUGCCAUAAGAGAGUUUAAACAACUACCCCUCCCGUAUCCCCUCACCAUCGAGUUAUACGAAAUCGGUCUAUAAGACAUGUUUGGAUUUAGGUAUGAUUAGCCUAUGUAUGAUUACGAACUGAUAAGAUUUGUUAAUGUUAUUACAAAGGGAGAUUUAUCAAAAUCAGACGUCAUCAUUGAUGUCUAUUCACUAAAAUGUAAUUCUUGGAGAAGAAUUGAUGGAUUCACUUUUCCUAUACGCUUUCUAGAUCAUGAAUGGUCAGGGACUCUUCAUGUUGGUGUCAUUUAUUGGAAUGUGAACUACAAAAUUAGUCUUGGGUUUAAGGAAUAUCAAAAUUUGCUUUGUGGAAUUCUUUCAUUUCAUCUAUCAUCUGAAGAGUUUGAUGUAAUCAACGUGCCCAAUGAUGCAGUUCAGGCACAUGAUAAAACUGUUAGGGUGGUGGUCCUUGGAGGAUGUCUAAGUUUCACUCAAAACAACUACGGUGAAAGCUUUAAGGUUUGGAAAUUGGAGAAGGAUGUAACGAGACAUAGUUAUAUAAGGUUCAUGACAAUAUCGAAUCUUUCCUCACCACAACAAGGCUCAAGGUUCAAGCCAAUAUGGUUAUUUGCAAACAGUGAAGUCUUUUUUACCUAUGGAUUUGGUGUCUUACUCGUACGUAGGUAAAAAUUCAAGUAGAUUAGAAAUGUAUAAUCCGAUCCAAGGCAUCUUAAAAGGAGUCAAAGUUACUCGUAUAAGGCAAUGGUUUUGGGGAGUAACAUACAUGGAGAGUUUGGUUUCGCCAAACUUUGAUGUCUUUUGAUCAUGCAAUUGUUAAAUAUUUUAAGGUUGUUGUGGUUUUGGGUUUUGUGUCUUGGGUUUAUAUUGUGACACUUUACUAUGACAUAUUACUAAAUCUUGUUAGUCAUGAGGCCAUGCCUAACAUGAGAAUAUGUGACACGCCAUGUAUACCCUGCUGUUAUGCGACAUGCCAUGUUGACUCUGCUGUUCUACAACACGUCAUGAUGGGUUUGUACAAGGUGCGUGAUGCCAUUGACAAAAUGAAAUUAUGCGACACGCCAUGCCUAACUCGCGAGUAAGCGACACACCAUUGGCACCAUUGGCAUAUUUAGCUUCUUCCUGGUUAACUUAUUAUGUUCUAGAACAUCCCAAGCAAUACAUAGUCAUGGUAGAUAAAAGUAGAUGUCGUUUAGUUAUUGUCAUUUAACAACCCAUUAAACCAUGAAGGCAUGUCGUGUAUCAACAUUUCCAGUCAAUGGCGUAGCGUUAUAGAAUUAAUAUUGAACUCUGUUCUUGAAAGCUGAGGGUUAUGCACACCAUUUCAGUAAUACAACACUGGUUUGGGAUCUUUUAAGUUUUCUUGCCAUUUGAUUUUUUCCACAUUACCCUUUCUUUCCAUAGAACGCUGUCCUAUGUCAAUGUCUAAUUCACCUACCACGUCACACGCAAAACCCGCACCCUUAUAAGCAACACCUUACAAUUAGACAUUUUGGAACACGACAGGAAAUGUCGAAACACUGUUGUUAGACAUAAAUGAAAUUGAAGUUCAGGCUUAAUAAACGCCAUGGCUACCACGCACUUGUUUUGCUAUGGCACGCGAACACAACAUUGUUUGCUACAUGCCAUGGAAAUAAAUUGAUUUUAGUUUCAAUUGUCUGUGUAUGGUUACAAAAAACUUCAGCACAUGGCAUGUACGCGAUAGGCAUUAAAGAGACAUAAUGUUUAGGCAACAACUGAAGGCAAAAUGUUCCAUUUGAGAUAUUUGAAAAAGAUCCCAAUCACACACAUUAGUGUAUAUAGUGUCCAUACUAACUAAAGACAUAAGAUUCAACAACAUUACCUUAAUACCAUCCAAUUCAUUGAAUUUUACCAACUAUGGAUUCUACAAGAAUAGGAAAACGACCUCAAGAUUGCAUUAAGGAAGAAGUCUAGUGAAGUCGCCUAGACAAAAUUGUUGUCCGAGAGGAUCAAGACACAACAAAUUUGGAUAACAUACUUCACUACAUUCAGAAUAUGGAAGGAGAAAUUUUAUAAAAAUCAGAAUACUCAUUAUCAAACUAAUGGAUAUGUUAGAAAAAUUAAAAGAUCUUGAGUUUAAAGUCUAGUGUAUAUAAGUAUUUGACUAUUCAGGGGGUCCCAUCUUCUAGGGAUUAAGGGCACCAAACCUCAAACCCUUAAUCUUAAUUAAGCAGCAAUUUGUAUCGCACUGUUUAAAUCUCAAAUGUGGCAACAUGUGACUCUAUAUUUUAUGUACUAAUUUAUUUCAUACACUUAUACAAUACUUGAAGAACAAUUAGGUUUGCCUAAUUCAUUCAUCAUCUGAUAAUUAGUUAUGAGAAAGCUAAAUGAUGAACGUGGUGAAUGUAAGGAAUUUUGAUUCAUGGCAUUUUUAACCAAAGAUCUCGAUGAUUAGGCUUAUCUUUGAGUGGUUAAUAAAAUGAGCGAAUCACUUAUAGAAAUGGAGCAAUUUUUUCCCCUGCCGUAUUACAACAUAUGCAAAGUGCAUUACUGUUCAAUUUAGUUUGAUCGACUUGUUUUCUCGCGAGAAUAGUAGGCAUGGUGUGUAAGAACAAAUGAAAAGGUCAACAUGUAGCUGGAUAUUUUGCUUUAUUUUAUAAAUGUCAUGGAACAUACAACAUUUCUAACACAUCAACACAACAAGGCAAUUAUGAAUAAAUGUAGGUAACAACAUCGGUGUCCGAAAACAUACGAGAGACAAAAAUUUUCUUCAAAACAUUAGUAAAGAAUUGAAAAUUAACAUUGAUGAUCACGUCGAAUGUUGUAGGAAGAUUUGUUACCUACGUGAUUGUAUGAAGAUAUACAGAAAGAUCUUCCCUUGGCAAACCUCAGAGAACCAUGGACGGUAUUUGACAUUGGUUGCAAUAACCAAGUUUUUGGGCUGAGUCAUGGCCUUCACGUAUAAUGGAUUUGCUCUGUCCCUAAUGACCAAAGAUAAUUUGGGUGAUAAGAAACAACCUUAGUACCUUGUAUAAGAUAAGCUGAGUCAUAGAAGAAUAAUAAAUACUUAAUUACCUCAGGCAAUCUUGAACCAACCAUCAUGUCGCCAGAGGUAACUAAGUAUCGAUGAAUAGUUUGUGCACAAGACAAAAUCAUCAAGGAUGAUUGAAAGACGAUGUCUUUCCAGAGCAUAUUUUGAAAUACCUCUUAUAAUCAGGUGUUACUUCAAUUGAUGGAAUCUUCCUACUACCCUAAACCCUUCCACUUUUAAUUAAUAAUUAGAUAAAUCGUAUUGCUAGACCAUUUAUAUAAAGGGUUGCUUUGUCAUUCAGGGUAAACUUUAUUGUGUCAAAGAUAUUUCUCUUCAAUUUAUAUUCUAAUUUAAUCCAUGCCACGUGUGUUUUGGCAUGUCCACAGCGCAGGUAUUACCAUAGCACCAAUUGCAAUGCAAAAGUCAAAAAUCCAAAUAAAAAACACAGUGUAACUUGCAAACAAUAGAACGAAGUACUUUGACAAGGCAAAAGAGAUGGUGUGUAGCAUUUUGUCCUAUAUCAGUCAUUACAUUUCAAACCAUAAUAUCCAAUGAUGUCUUCAAAUAAUAAAAGGGUUGAUUGGUAGCUUGGCAUGUCACGUCCUUUCUCACAUGGAGAAAAGCAGUAAAGAAUAUGAAAUAUUGUGCCAAGUAAGAAUUUACCAACAAUUCAUAUUCCCUUUAGUUCAUAAGGAAUUUUUCAAACUAUUAGCAAUAAUUACAAAAAGCUAAAAGACUUUUUUCGAUAAUUGAAACGUUGUCUAUUUCCUAAGAGUUUAUGUAAAGGAAAGGUAUUAUUAUCCUAACUUAUGAAAAACACAUGUAAACUUCCGAUGUCAUUUUCAUUUAGGGGUCCACACUGUGAAUUCGUGCUACUACAUGGAAAUUGCCUAUAAAAGGGCCAUGUUAUGAAACCAUUCCCUAAACCAAGUUCUAAUGACAAGAGUCAUAUGCUUUGCAAUUACCACUCAAGUGGAUCCUUUGCAUCAGAAGCUCAUGAUGUUAAUGUUGUUCCAUAUUAUAUGGGAAAAUUGACUGUAUAGAUGUAAAUUGAUCAAUAUAUAUUCCAUACCAUUCAAAUGCAAGCAAUAUAUACUCAAACCACAUCAUAUUCCCACCCAAAAGUAUAUUCAUUUAGUAAGUCCUUAUCUCGGGAAGAUCUAAUGCUGCAGGAGUAUAUUCCAUAUUGACUUGGAGGGGAGUGCUCGGUGUCGAAAGAGAUUCCCUUUCGGAUGCCUAGAAGUCUUUCAUUGGAAGCUGAAGGACACCACAAUACGUGUCAUAUACACUAGACUUGACGACACAUCUAGUUUAAGAUAUAAGAUAGCUUAAACAACCAUUGCUAGACAUGCGUGUAACACUAUAGUUGCAAGAGGUCGUUUAUAGAAAUGAAGAAGGAUGUCGUGGAGAGUGGUGUUGCCAAUAGCAUGUCACAAGCCAUGCUCGGAUGAUAGUUCACUUGCUAUGUAACCCUAAUGUAAUGCCCCGUACUUUGCUAUGGUGACUAAUAAAGCUUAUUGAAUGCCAAUUGAGCUUAAUUAUAAUGUUUAGAAGUGAUGAAAGAUGAAAGGAAUAGUUUGGGAUAAAAUAUUUCGCACGUGAGGAAAUAAUAAUAUUUUUAUCAGAGAAAAAUUUGUGAGAUAAAAAGUGAUUCGGAAGUGAAUUGAGGCAUAAUAAGGUAUUUUGGGUAUCAAUGAGAAGAGGAAAUUUUUGGAAUAAAAUAAUAUUUUAUUAAUAAAAUAAUAUUAAAAUAUUAAUAUUUUAUUCAGUGUCAAAAUUUUCCAUGAAGGAGUAGUAUAAGGCUAAUCUAAGUGGGGGAGAAGAGGAAUGAGAAAAUUUCAGAGAAAAAUGACGUUAAUAUGGCCACGUGUCUUUCUUAAGUAAAGAUGGCAUGGGUAAAUAAAUAUUUUAAAUAUUAUAAGAACACCGCGUUGGAGUACAAAGUUUAUACCUUAUUUGUACAUGUGUAGAAGGAGAUAAUAGAAGGAAAUUGGAGUUAAAUGAGUGUUGGGAGGACUAAAUGAAAAAGAAAAGAAACUUGGUGGGCAAAACGGUAAUUUUACACAAAGUUUGGUCAAAGCUUCCAUAGGAAGCUUUGACUCUCAUCCUUAUUAGCCCAAAAUUGUCCUUAUCUCCUCUAGCAAGAUGUUUCUUCUUCAUUCUUGAAGCUUCCAACGCCAUUCUCUCAUUCUCCCAUGGAAAGUUAAUUUUCUUUCAUUUUUUUCCUUGUUUUCUUUUCAUUUCCUUUCUCUUCUUGUUUCUUUCUUCUCUCAACUCCUUGUGCACCAAAGUUACAACUUCUAAACCCAAUUUCCAGCACUUCCAAACCCAAGGAAAGAGAAAGAAAAAUCUCUUUUUCUUUUCUUUAUUUUCUAUUUCUACUUCACUUUCAACAGCACUUGGAUUUUUGGCUUCAAAUCUUCAUUUUCAAGGUUGAAAGGUAUAUAUUUUCAACUUUUGGAAUUUUUGAAUUUAUGGUUAUAUAUUCAGAUUUAUUCCCUAAUUUCUUCAAAUUAUUUUUCUUGAAAAGAUUAAGUUUUUUUUAUUGAUCUUCAUGCCUUCAAGCUCAUCCAGGUAACGAAAUUGUAAAUUGGAGUAGUUGGCCAAAUGGGUUUCUAAAUUAGACUAGACACUUAGGUUAAAUGUUAGGUUAGAGGGUAGAUUGCCUAAUGUAAAUUCAUUAGAAUUAUUAGAUUUAAUUUAUGACUUAAUUGAGGUUGUUAUGGUUUAUUGAUAAAUAUACGCUUUAAUGGUAUUUCGAGACUACUUGGAUUAGGACCUUGCUAGUGCUAGUUUUGUCAGGUGAGUGAACUUGCAUUUCAAAAUAUUUUGGGGAAAUGUUUACGUGUUUCAAUGAAUCAUUUGGGAAUUUUAUCGAUUUUUGCUUUAAAAUUUCCUAGGAACAAGCCCUUGAUAAAACGUUUGAUGUUGUAAAAUGUGAAAUGUGUAAAAGGUUGAAUCCAUAUGUUUUUGUAUAAUGUUGAUAUAUAUAUAUAUAUAUAUAUAUAUAUANNNNNNNNNNNNNNNNNNNNNNNNNNNNNNNNNNNNNNNNNNNNNNNNUAUAUAUAUACUAUGUCAUAAAUGGUACCAUUGUGUGACAAAUGCAACCGUGCAUGUGCAGGGUGAGUGUGCACUUGCCGGUGAUGACGGUGGUGAGGGAGAUGGAUGGUGAUGCUGUCCGGCUAUGUGCACGAUGUGGUGGGAUGCACAUGAGCUGGGUGAAAUGCACAUGAUGAAUCUUGAAAAUUUGUCAUUUAUUUGCAAAUUGAUUUUAUUGCAACGAGAAACAUUCUGUUUAUACUGCCUUACUUAGAUAAUUGCUAAAAAUUUCCCUUCUUUCCAAUUUCAUGUUGAAUAUGGUUCCUUCAUCAUUAAAUGAUUUUACAACCAAGGGUUUAAUGGAGGGAUUUUAAAAAGAACUUGAACUAAAUGGCAUUGUUUUCAAAUAAGUGCAUUGUGUUUUCUAAACCAUUCCUUGUCAUUGCUUGUUCCUUUCUUAUGUUCACUCAUUGAGUUUGUACUCACAUUUUUAGAAUUCAUGUUUUAGGUUUCCUAAGUUAAAGGUGAUUGGAUCCUAGGACAAGGUGCUCUUCCCUAUCCAUUGCUCGGUAGGUUUACCAUGACAUUAAAUGUUAGCAACUGUGACCAGAGUUACUCCGCUGACGGUCAAGGUCUAAUUAUGUGUAUAUGAAUACUUGAGGUGAAAUACUAAGAUUCAUUGGUCAAGCUAUAUAUAUAUAUAUUAUGGUAGAUGAUGCCAUUAUGAAUGCAUAAUUGGGUUUUAUGAAUUGUUUUCAAAGAGACUACAUUUGAACAUUAUGAAUUUUAGAUUUUAAAGGUAUAUGAAUUACUGUAUAAGAUUAUACAAUAAGGCUUGCUUGGGCUUAGUGGGUUGGGCCCAUUGGGCCCUUGCAUCGGUCAUGACCAUGAAAUUGGGCUGUGACAAAGGUGGUAUCGGAGCUUUAGGUUUAGUUGAGUCUUAGGGAUUCCUGUGUGGUUAGCGGAGUUGUUGGAGUUUGUGUAAAGUCUUGUCCUUGGAUAGUGGGUGCACAACGCAAGUCAAGGAUGGGAGUCUACAUGGGCCCCUACUUCAUUAGAAACCUACCUGUUCUUAUGAUGUUUAGAUGGAUGAGUAAUUAAUACUUGGUUGCGUAUAGGUGGAGGUGCACCAGUUGCACACUCCAUGUCUAGAAAAAAUGGUAGUCCCGAUACCCCUUAUAGUUCUGUGAGGGAUCACUAGAUUCCACUGCUCGGAGCUGAUAUGUACCCGAGGGUGAAAGCAUAACAAGUAACCCGACUUGAUUUUCGAGUGGAUGGAUUCUCCCGAGAGGUAAACCACUAUUUAAGAGCUUCAGGAGUCUCGCAAGACUAGUGCAUAAUGAGAUCGAUCGGAGGAAAAAGAACACGAAUAAAAUGGGAAAAAAGACUAUCAGUAAUUAUCAUCCUAGGAAGGUAUCUGUAUCCGUUGUCUGACACUUUCCUCUUGGUUGUGGGAGAGGUGUUGUACUUGUUAGUAAGGAGAAAUUUGAGAAGCAGCAACAAGCUUGGAUUGAGAAUAAAAAAUUGGAAAAUCUCAAGAGGAAAAGGAGGACUUGGAAAAGGAUCUGUCGAUGUGCUCGGAUCAAGGCGACGAGGAUCCUAAAGACACUUAAUAUUUUCGUUGAAGUUCGUAUCACUUUAAGUCUAGGUAGAUGCGGUGUAAAGGAAAUAGUAGUAGUUAUCCAUACAAAAGAGUUAAGAGUUGGCUUAUAUUUUGUAUGACUUGAAUGAAUUAUAAAGUAGCUAUUUAAAUAACUGGAUGUGUAUGGGAAUCUUUUGGUAUAACAGAGGUAGGCUAGUAAUAUAAUUAUUGAGGAAGGAUAUUCACCUUAGUGGUGUGGUUGGUCACCUUAGAUGAUUAUUAAGGAUUGACGUAUAAAGUCAUUAAUGGUACAAACAACUACGAGACCUGACAAAUGAUUACCAAUUAAUUAUGGAAAGGUGAAAUUUGAAAUCCCAAUUGCAGUUACAAUUUGGACAGAUAUGGGAGAAAUCAAUGAGGAUAUAAGUGACACUUAGAAUGGGUGAUGUGAUUAAGUCAAAGAUUGUAAAAUUUAAGUAUGGAGGGAACUACAAAAUGAUGCCAUGACAUUAUAAGAUGAUAAUUUGGCACAAAUAUGGACUAAGGAGUCAAAUUAUGGAACUUGGGGAAAAGUGAAUCCUUGAUUUAAUAAAAAUUGUGGAUGUAGAGCGUGGAGAAAGAUGAACUAUUUUCAUGGUCAUUUGUACUGAAAGUCAACAAAACUGUUUGAGUUACAUGAUGUCACAACCCAAAAUUUCGAGCCAUGAUCGGUGCAUGGGCCCAAUGGACGUAGUCCACGAAGCCCAAGCAAGCCUAUUAAUCUGACAUGGUCAUCAUUCCAUCAUAAACUGCUAAGUCACAUUUCAUAACUUAGGAUCAAAAUAAUAUUAAACAUUGCCACCUCAUAUUGGCAUACCAAACAAGUGUAUAUACAUCGUCUACAAUAUGUAUCUUAAUAAUUUACAUUAGGUUUGUCUAUACACAACAAAAGAAUACUCGACUUCCAACGGAGGGACUCAGAUGAAUGUACAGCUACUGAAUGCCGAGACACUUACCAAAAGAUGGAUACAAGUCUACAAGGACACCUCGUCCUAGUUACCGACUGCCUCGUGAUAUGAAAACAUGAAGUUGAAAAUGGUAAGUAUAAACCUAGUGAGUGAACAAGGAAGGGAACAAGCAACAAUAGGGAAGAAUUUAAAAUCAUGAUACACUUGUUUUAAAACAAUGCAAUUUAAUUUCAUUCAUAUUAAAAACCCCUUAUCAAACCCUUAAAUGAUUAAUCACUUGGUAAUAAUGAACCCAUACAUAACAAAUAAUUUGAAAACUUGAGGUUUCAGUGAUACGCAAACAAGUCAAAUGUGACAACGAAUCUUCGCUGCAGCGGAAAGGUAUUCUCACUGCAGCGAUGUUGGAAUUUAAGUUAUUAGCUGAACGAGGGCUUCUCAACUGGCCGAGGGUUUCUUACCAAACCUCCUCAUUUUAAACUUAAAUCAUUUAUUCCUUAAUGUUGAAGUCCAUGCUCAACCAUGGUAUCAAAGAGGUGAAAAAUAGGGCAACAAUUGAUCAAGAUGUGAGACAAAACAGAAAGUUUUUCGCUGCAGCAAGAAUGAAUCUUACUGUAGCGAAAUUUUUGCACCAAGACAGAAACUUUCUCGCUGCAAUGAGAUUUAUUCUCGCUGCAGCGAGUUUUCAGCCAGCCACCCUCCAAAAAACCCUAGAGUUUCUCGCUACAGUGAGAAACAGGGCACCAAUGAAAAAUUUCACUUCCUCCCAAAGAAAACCACCCUGCUGAAAUGUCCAAAACCAAUAGGAAACACAUAACAACUUCCCAAAGUUUAACAUACUGAAUUUCACAUACAUUACAACCAUAUACCAUUACUCAUAAAUUUCUUAUAACACACAUGUUUUCAUAUAUAUAUGUAUAUACAUAUACCCAUCAUCAUCAUGCACACCAUCCCAUCAUCCCCAGCUCAUGCGCACUCCCUACUCGCACAUGGCUAGGUCAUCAUCGAGUUAUGCGCACUCCCUACUCGAACAUAACCGGGUCAUCAUCGGCUUAUGCGCACUCCCUACUCGCACAUAGCCGAGUCAAAAUCAUUACACAAUAAUGUAUUCAUAUAUAUAUAUAUAUAUAUCAACACAAUGUGGUAGUGCAUGAAUCAAUAAUAGUCACAUGUCAUAACAAGGAGACAAUUUAUCAAAAGCUUGUUCCCAAGUCACUUGUUUUUAUGAAAAGCUAGAUAAUCCAUUCAAAUGUUUGGCAAAUACAUUAUAUCCCCAAAACAAGUUUUGAAUGUAGUUCACUCACCGAUUUAUUGUUGAGCCUUUAGUUGACUCUAAUUCCUUUAAUGAUCCAAUUGGGGUGAUGGGGCUUCGUUAGAACCUAAAAUCACAUUAGCAUCAGCAAUAGGUCAAUUCACAUACUAUAAACCCUAAAAGCUAUCUCUUAGCUAGCUUUCAAUUGCCACAUUAAAUGGCUAUCUAUGUUCACUAUCUUAAUCACUAUAAAUUUAAUGAACAUCCUCAACAAUAAAACAGCUCAUAAUCUCAAUUACUAGCCAUUAUCCACAGCUAAAAACCAAGCUUAGUUCAUCACUCACCCUAAGGUUUCUUUGUAGUUGAAUUCUCUUCUAAUAGCUUCUAAACAAAUGGAGUAAUUCUCUCUUUCUCUCUCUAAAAUGCCCAACUAGUGAGAGAAAGUAUGGAAAUAAGAUUUUUUAAGGGUUUUAAGGAGAGAGAGUGAAAAAGCACAAGGGUCUAUGGAAAGGGUGCACCAAAAGCAUGAAUUUUAGAGCUAUUUAGGGAAGAUUGUGGAAUUUUUUUUGUCAAGCUUUCAUGGAGGUGGAGAAGCAAUGUGAAAUGAAAGAAGAAAAAGAAGGAAAGUUGCUGGAGAAUGUAGAAGCUGCUGGAAGGAAGAGAUAUUUAUAGCCCAUGCUUAUCCAUUUCACUUAAAUUACUAAAAUGCCCCUCCAUAAAUUAACUUACUCUCCUCCAACCCUUUAUGCAAUCUUUUUACUCCUUUGACACUGGGACAAGGUCCAUAAUGGUCUAGACAUGCUCAGAUUCAUGAAAACUUAAAAUUCUAACCAUAGGUGAAAAAUGACCAUUUUACCCCUAUCGUGAAAAUCAUCAAAAUUUUAAUUUUCUUUUCAUCUUACCCCUAAUUUCAUCAUCCAUUUAUGCCUUAGGCCUACUUAGGCCACAAUAUUAUUUAAAAUCUUACUUUUGUGGGCUUACUAAGAAAAUAACGAAAUUACCCCUGAUCAGGGAUAUCGCGUAUAUUACUAACUACAAGUCUAUAAAGAUCAAGAUCUCACAUAUGACAAGAAAGACAAUUAAUUGUGAAUGCUAAGGAAUUGUGGAAUGUCAUAAAUGGUGGAUAAUUUUACGUGUGGUAUUAUAUAUUGAGAACUUUUUACACAAUAUGGCAAGAUUGUCCUAAGGUGGGACUCAUUGGUUGAAGAAAAAUGUUAAAGGAUAAAAUGAGUUUGAAAAUAUUGACUCGGCUUAGUGCAUAUGAUAAGCAAAAGAGAAGAUACACAUGGUUAUGAAAAUUGUGGGAUAGGCAUGGAGGAAAGCCAAAUGGUUGAGCAUGAUCCCUGUAGUAACUUUAAAGAUGGAAGAACUUAUUCGUGGAAGAAAUUUUCAGCAGCCAUAGCGCUACAGCACUAACUCUUUAACGCUGUAGCGUUGAAACUACCCAUAUCCAACAGUCGCGAUGCUGCAGCACUGACUGUCCAAGGCUGCAACACUACGAAUACCUCAUGUCUAGGGUGCAUGAGCAAGAUGGGAGUGGCACGAUAAUGAGCUUACAAGCUGAAUUAUGGUCAUUGGUCAUUGAGCUUUGUUAUUUGGGAGUUUUAAAUGUUCCGGAGAAUGUUUACAUGAAUGUAUUGAAAAGUUUCUUUAUUGCCUUUUAUAUGGGCAUAUAAUUUAAAGAGAAGUUGAAAGAUUCUUGAGAUGGCUACACUAAGAUAAGAUACCAUGUGAAGUAUUAGGAUGAAUAAUAUGUUGACCAAAGUCAAAUCCUAAGAAAUAAAGGAGACGAGAGAUUAAGCCUUGUUAAGGGCUAAGGAAAUAGUGAGUGAAGAGUUAGAUGAAUAUAUGAGAUACGGGUAAGGGAUUUCAAUUCUAAGUGAUGAAAGUGUGAAUGAAGGAUUACAAGAGUGGUAUAGCAAAUGAGUUAUAUAGAAUACUGCUAUGAGAAUUUGCAAUUCCUGUCUUGACUCAGUUGGAUGAAAAGGAUUAGUAACAACACAAGGCCGAUUAGGUGGCAUGCUAGAAACGCUUGGGGAUAAAUUGAAGUAUGAAUAGUUGAGCAUGCACUUGAAUAUCUUGGUGAAUAAGUGCAUGCCUUUUUUGGAAUGAUAUGCUUGGAAUGUUAAAGAGCAAAUAAGUGACUAAGUGUUUCAGGAAUGCACAAAUAUCUUUGAAAAGGAAUUACCAAUCAUACAUGGCGAGUAUAAAAAGUGGGAUUUUUAAAAACUUGCUGAAGAGCCUAACGGCUGAGUCAUGGGUUAAGUGAUCACAUGCGGUGAAGCAUAAGUUUAAGAUAAGUAUCCCUAAGGAAAUACUCAAGAGGCGUUCUACUAUGGAUCUUGUGAAAGUAAGCAUUAAGUUAUAUGGUCAUAAAGAAAAAGCUGUAAACUGAAAGUGAGAUUCGUAUUGACAUUGAAAAGUACUUAAGGAGGACCUUGUUUCAAGUCUUGCAGUUUCAAGUACAAACUAUAGAUUGGUCCAGGGAGAAUGAUGUCACAUUAGUAUGGAAGAAUACAACAAAGGAUGAUUGAAGAUAAUCUGGAUAAUGACGUCCGAUAAUGAAAACUUCCUAAUGUAGUAUGGAAAUUAGAAUUUGAAAAUGCUUAAGGCAUGCACGAUUCGAAUAAGUCUAAGUUUUAAGUGACACAUUAAAGUCGAAAUGCAACAAGGAUAUAAUAUAUAUAUACAUAUUAGAGGUAUGAAGAAUAAUUGAGAAAUAAGGAUGACUUUUAGGGAUUGUGGUAUUACAAAUAUGCAAUGAUCCAAUAAAGAUAAACCUUUGAAAGAUCAACGAGAUUAUAAAGUAUAUACGAAUAUCGGAUUACAAUUUAAUGCAAAUGACAUUUAGCAAGUGAGAUGUGAUUAAUGACAUUGUGAUGCAAAGAUAUAUAUAGUACGAUGAAACUCUAGCAAAUGAUAUAAACGAUAUGAAGUUAUGCAUAGGCAUAAUAAGAAUGUUGACAUGCACUAUGAGAAUUAUUAUAUUGAAUCUUGGAUAGGGAUGGGAAUGAAUAAAGGGAGACGUAGUCCAAGGCACGGGAACACAUGGAUCCCUAUGCGUAACAAGGAAUGUUGAUGUUUGGAAAUGCAUGUACAUACGUAUAUGUGAAAUUGAUGACUUGACCAACUGAGGUGAAGAAUUGUUCUAAGUAAUUUGAGAUUUAAACUCAAUAAUUGAUGAGUUGUAUAGAUAGCACAAUGAUAAAAUAUCCCAUCAGAAGUUGAGCUAUGUUGAUAUAAGAAAUUUUGGAGAAAUAGUCAAAGAAAUGAUACCACGGAAAUGUAAUCUAUAACGUGGUUAAGCUACACAAGAUGGACUAAUACAAUUAAGAAGAUUGAAGUUGCAGAAAUUGAAGGUAAACAUGAGUAUGUGGGAAUUAUUGAAGCCAUUAACCUCCCCCAAUGUUGGGAAUACGACAGGAAUGAAUAUGGCAUAUUAAUGAUGCUGUAAGCUACAUAAUAGUGUAUGAGGAUAGGAUGAAUGAAUGAAUGUCGAGAAGUUUGACAAGGAAAGAAGUAAUAAGAUGGUGAUUGGUAUACAUAAGUAAGUACAAAAUGUGAUUGAAAUUGGAAUGAUUAAGAUGGAGUUAUGGUUCAAAUUUAAUGAUGGGGAUAACGACAUACUCAACGUCUUAAAAUAAGAGAUAAUGAUCGUGAAGGUUACCAUCGAUUUGAUUCUAAAGGAUAAUAACAGACAUAAGUGAAGCAUUCUAGUCGAACUGGAGGUAAACAACGUGAAUGAAUGACUAGAGGUUUGAUAAGAAUCAAAAUAAAGAUAUGUUUGAGAUUAGUGACGAAAUUAAAGGCGUACUUGGGAUCUUAGUGAUAAGAAAUAACAAUUGAUAAGGGUACCGUGGUUUUGACUCAAAUAUGAUAAUAGAUAUAAGAUACGUACCUUGAUCUUGUAAAGUGUUCUAGUCAAAUUGAAGGUAAUGAAGUGCGUAAAUCUAAAUUCCCUAUGAAGAAGGAAAUGGAAUAAGAUCAUCGAGGGAGAUUAACAACCCGACGUUGAGAAAAAUUCGAGGACGAAUUUUAUUUGAGUGGGGGAGAUUGUAAUGCCCCGUACUUUGCUAAGGUGACUAAUAAAGCUUAUCUAACACCAAUUGAGGUUAAUUAUAAUGUUUAGAAAUGAUGAAAGAUGAAAGGAAUAGUUUUGGAUAAAAUAUUUCACACGCGCAAAAAUAAUAAUAAAAUAAUAAUAUUUUUAUCGGGAAAGAAUUUGUGAGAUAAAAAGUGAUUCGGAAGUGUAUUGAGGCAUAAUAAGGUAUUUUGGGUACCAAGAGAUAAGAGGAAAUUUUUGGAAUAAAAUAAUAUUAAAAUAUUAAUAUUUUAUUAAAUUUCAAAAUUUUCCAUGAAGGAAGAGUAUAUAGUCAAUCUAAGUGGGGCAGAAGAGGAAUGAGAAAAUUUCAUAGAAAAAUGACAUUAAUGGGGCUGCGUGUCUUUAUUAAGUGAAGAUAGCACGGGUAAAUAAAUAUUUUAAAUAUUAUGGGAACACCUCAUUGGAGUACAAACUUUAUACUUUAUUUGUACAUGUGUAGAACAAGAUAAUAGAAGGAAAUUGGAGUUAAAUGAGUGUUGGGAGGACUAAAUGAAAAAGGGAAGAAACUUGGAGGGUAAAACGAUAAUUUUACACAAAGUUUGGUCAAAGCUUCCAAAAAAAACUUUGACUCUCAUCCUUAUCAACCCAAAACCAUCCUUAUCUCCUUCAACAAGAUGUUUCUUCUUCAUUCUUGAAGCUUCCAACGCCAUUCUCUCAUUCUCCCAUGGAAAGUUAAUUUUCUUUCAUUUUCUUUCCUUGUUUUCUUUUCAUUUCCUUUCUCUUCUUGCUUCUUUCUUCUCCCAACUUCUUGUGCACCAAAGUUACAACUUCUAAACCCAAUUUCUAGCACUUCCAAACCCAAGGAGAAAGAAAGAAAAAUCUCUCUUUCUUUCCUUUAUUUUCUAUUUCUACUUCACUUUCAAAAAUACUUAGAUUUUUGGCUUCAAAUCUUCAUUUUCAAGGUUGAAAGGUAUAUAUUUCCAACUGUUGGAAUUUUUGAAUUUAUGAUUAUAUUUUCAGAUUUAUUCCCUAAUUUCUUCAAAUUGUUUUUCUUGGAAAGAUUAGGUUUUUUUGUUGAUCUUCAUGCCUCCAAGCUCAUCCAGGUAACGAAAGUUUAAAUUGGAGUAGUUGGCCAAAUGGGCUUGUGAAUUAGACUAGAAACUUAGGUUAAAUGUUAGGUUAGAGGGUAGAUUGCCUAAUGUAAAUUCAUUAGAAUUAUUGGAUUUAAUUUAUGACUUAAUUGAGGUUGUUAUGGUUUAUUGAUAAAUAUAGGUUUUAAUGGUAUUUCGAGACUACCUAGAUUAGAACCAAGGUGAAUGAACUUGCAUUUCAAAAUGUUUUGGGAAAAUCUUUACGUGUUUCAAUGAAUCAUUUAGGAAUUUUAUCGAUUUUUGCUUUAAAAUUUCCUGGGAACAAGCCCUUGAUAAAAUGUUUGAUGUUGUGAAAUGUGAAAUGUGUAAAAGGAUGAAUACAUUUGUUUUUUUAUAAUGUUGAUAUAUAUAUAUAUAUAUAUAUAUAUAUAUAUAUAUAAUAUGUCAUAAAUGGUACCAUUGUGUGACAAAUGCAACCGUGCAUGUGCGGGGUGAGUGUGCACUUGUCGGUGAUGACGGUGAUGAAGGAGAUGGAUGGUGAUGCUGUCCAACUAUGUGCACGAUGUGGUGGGAUGCACAUGAGCUGGGUGAGAUGGGAUGUCCGGCUAUGUGCAGGAUGUGGUGGGAUGCACAUGAGCUGUGUGAGAUGCACAUGAUGAAUCUUGAAAAUUUGCCAUUUAUUUACAAAUUGAUUUUAUUGCAACGAGAAACAUUCUAUUGAUACUGCAUUGCUUGGAUAAUUGCUAAAAAUUUUCCUUUUUUCCAAUUUUAUGUUGAAUACGGUUCCUUCAUCGUUAAAUGAUUUUACAACCAAGGGUUUAAUGGAGGGAUUUUAAUAAGAACUAGAACUAAAUGGUAUUGUUUUCAAAUAAGUACAUUAUGUGUUCUAAACCAUUCCUUGUCAUUGCUUGUCCCCUUCCUAUGUUCACUCACUGAGUUUGUACUCACAUUUUUAAAAUUCAUGUUUUAGGUUUUCUGAGUUAAAGGUGAUUGGAUCCUAGGACAAGGUGCUUCUCCCUAUCCAUUGCUUGGUAGGUUUACCAUGACAUUAAAUGUUAGCAACCGUGAUCAGAGUCACUCCGCUGACGGUCAAGGCCUAAUUAUGUGUAUAUGAAUACUUGAGGUGAAAUACUAAGAUUCAUUGGUCAAGUUAUAUAUGUAUAUUAUGGUAGAUGAUGCCAUUAUGAAUGCAUAAUUGGGUUUUAUGAAUUUUUUUCAAAGGGACUAUAUUUGAACAUUAUGAAUUUUGGAUUUUAAAGGUAUAUGUAUAAGAUUAUACAAAGAGGCUUGCUUGGGCUUAGUGGGCUGAGCCCAUUGGGCCCUUGCACCGUCAUGGCCCGAAAAUUAGGCUGUGACACCUAAAUUCAUAUUGUCAAAAUGACUUUUUAAUAUUAACUCUAUGGAAAGAUAAUGUUAUUCAUUGCAUGUUCUUAAUAGCGUAAUAUUGUUGGGCUCAUAUGGCUACACCCCAUAAACAUUUCUAACAUGUCAUGGAUAAUGACUAAGACGCAGUGCAUAUGUUUGUACAUGACAUAUAAAUGAAAACUCUUAAUCUUUAUACGACAUGUAAAAUGACUCAGUUGGUAAACACUAAAAUAAACAAAGUGCAACGAUGGUACAGGCCAUGCCUGAUAUUGUAAAAUGCUACAGGACAUGCCUAAUAGGCGAUUAAGCGACACGUCGAGGCUAACAAAAGAAUAUGCCACAUACCAUGACUAACAUGCUAAUAUGCAUGAAACGCCUUGCCUAACAUGCAAAUAUGCGACAGGCCAUGACUAACAUUCGAAGAUGGGAAACGCCAUGCCUGAGAGGCGAAUUUGCGAGACCCUAAACCUUAACAUGAGAACAUGCGACACGCCAUGUCUAACAAGCGAGUAUGUGACAUUCCAACCCUAAUAGGCAAAUAUACGACACACCAUGGCUAAAAUGCAAAUAUGCCAUAGACAAUGGCUGACAUGAUAAUAUGCCACACGCCAUGCCUAACAUGGUAAUAUGUGACACAUGAACCCCAACAUGCUACAUGUCAUGCCUAGCAGGCCAUUAUAUGACACACCGUUCCUAACAGUCAAAAAUGAGAUGCGCCAUUUCUAAUAGGCGAGUAUGCCAUACGUCAAACCUAAUAGGCGAAUAUGCAACACACCAUGGCUAAAAUGCAAAUAUGCCACCGAUAAUGGCUGACAUGCUAAUAUGCCACAACUGUGCCUAAUAACAUUGUAAUCUUUGACACGUUGACCCUUACAUGUGAAGAUGCGACACGCCAUGCCUAAUAAGUGAUUAUGUGACAUGCCAUUUUUAAUAGUCGAAUAUGCGACAUGCCAUGCCUAACUGGCAAUAAUGCCACACGCCAACCCUAAUAGGCCAAUAUGCAACAUGUCAUGGCUAAAAUGUGAAUAUGCGACAGACCAUGGUUGACAUGCUAAUAUCCACACUUCAUGCCUAACAUGCUAAUAUGCCACACACCUACACUAACAUGCGAACACGCGACACGCCAUGCCUAAUAGGCGAUUAUGUGACAUGCCAUUCCUAAUAGUCGAACAUCCCUAAACCCAUGACUAACAGGUGAAUAUGCGAGAUGCCAUCGCAUAACAUCAUAAUAUGCGACACGCCAUGCUUAACAGGCGAACAUGUGUGACUCCAUGCCUAACAUGUGAAUAUCCCAAACACCAUGCCUAACAUAUUAAUAUACAACAUGCCAUGCCUUAAAUGUGAAUACACCACACGCCAACCCUAAUUAUUCAAUAUGUGACAUGACAAGCCUAACAUGUGAAAAUGCCACUUGCCACCCAAAAAAAAAUUGCUUCUUUCGUUCACGAGACCAAUCAAAUAACUCACAUUUGCCUAUUUUGAUAAUUUUGUGUACUCAUUUAAAACAUGUGGUCAUGAUAGCUUAAUAUUAAGCACAUUGAAUAUGAACUCUAUGUAUAUUCAAGUUAAUAUAUUAAAAAAUGUUCAUACAACGGGGCAAUUGCCAUUUUCGGGUUCACCUUCACAACUGUUCAAGAAAAUUUCUACAACGAAUUCUUUUUGCAUUUUUGCAAUCAUCUCCUGCUUGACUUUGAUUUGCCUAAAUUGCAUAACGUCUAUAAUAUAUCCAACAAUAAACAUCUUGCAACUGAAGCGAUUGGUCUGCUGAUGUCUUGAGGCUUUUGGUGGUGUUAUCUCCAAUAGCAUCGGCGUUAAAUCUUGUUUCUUGCGAUGUGUAUAAUGGAAAUAACUAGAUUGCUGGUAGAUGAUGAGCAUCAUCAUACUCAGGCAUUGCAUUUGAUUUUGAAGUAGCCUAGAAUCAAUAAUAGCAAAAGUUUUUGUUGAGUCCACAACCUUUAUCCUUCGAUUCACCAAGUUAGAUCUUUGCAACAACACAGUGCUUAUCCAUAUUACACAAUGCGAGUAUAUAAUAGACUUCUGUCCAUUUUCUUCUAAAGGUUGUGUUGUUUAAUUUUCUACCCACACAAGUAUACGUAUUGCAAAGAUAAUAUAAAGAUGAGUAGAGUGUUGAUCCCACAGAAAAUUGAAUUAAUCCUUACUGUUAACUACUAAAUUUAACACACCCUAAUUUUAUCUAAACAAUUAAAAUUUAAAUUAAUAAACUAAUAAUUAAAACUAAUAUAUCAGUAAAAUUACUUUUAGUGAUUACCAGAAUUAAGAUUAUAAUAUCCCUCAGUACUUCAUCUACACAUUGUCUCUCUCUCUCUCUUAACUCAAUUUAAUGGAUUAAGUUACUAACAUAGAGUCCUAAAUUAUUUACAAGUCUCUGUCGAUUGUUUCAUAAAAAUACCUAUCCCAUAUAAUUUACUAUAUGUCUAUGCAAAUUAUAUUGAAGAAAGAUUCAUUAAGUUUGUGCUUUAAUUUUAGCUAUGUAUGGCUUAUAGGUGUAUGUCUACCCUAUAUGCAAAUCAAACUACCUAAUCAACUAAGUGCAUUCGAUCCUACACUAUUCUAUUCUAAGUCUACCUAAAUCUCCUUCGUCAAGGUUUAACCUAGGUUUCCAAUUCAAUCUUAAUUGGUGAUCAGGCAAUUAGAAGCAUUAAGAAUAGAAAAAAUAAAUAACUUAAAUCCAUCAAACAUAAGUAAAAGAGAGAUAAAUAAUUUAGACUGCAUAUUGAGUUCAAUCAUAAUCUUAGAAUAAAAGUUUAGUUCCCCAUUAAGUCACACAUCAACAUUGAAUAAAAUUUAAACAUUAAAAACAAAAUCAAGAGAACAAGAGAAUAAAAAAGAUAGAAAAACUCAAGAAUUAUAUUCUUUAUCUCUAAAUCUCCUCGAAUUCUUCAAAUUCUUCUCAGCUUCAAUGACUAUGUGGCUUGGCUCGCAAUUUGUGUUUUCACUCUCUUCUUUUUUUAAGUCCUUCAAAAGGUUGUUUUUAUAGUUUUGAAGUUAGGCCAAGUUGGGUGGAGAAAGAAGUCAAUUUCAGCUAGGAUUUCCUCAUCAGACUAUGUGGGUUGUAGCCUUGCCCAAUUAAUUACCAGAAAUUGUAAUUGCUCUAUGAUUGCUACAGUGCAUUAAAUUCGAAAAAAUUUUUGAACAUCUUCCAAGUCUAACUGAUAAAGUGUUAAACAUGAAAAUUGUAGCCUUUUCUCUUAUCUUUCCAAUGGUCUAAGAAUUACUUCAUUUGGAGCUCUGUAGAGAAAGUUAUGGCUAAAAUACCAAAACAUAUGUAUUAUAAGUCUGCACCGUGAAAUUGCUUUUCUUCUUCCACUAAAAUUCUUCUUUCAUCAAAUACCUUCAAAAAUACAAAUAAAUCAGUAACAACCUAUCUUAAUUACACUAACACCAAUUUAAGCAUAAAAUUAACUAAGAUUAGAUUGACUCACCUAAAUUAACUAAUUUAAAAUAAUUAAAUAAAAUAUACUAAUUUCUAUGGAUUACUACAAGAACUAAGCUAAAUUACUAUCAAAAUUAUGCCCAAAUAACUCUAUAUCAUAGAGUUAUCACACCUCUAAACUUAAUAUUUUGCUAGUCGACAAGCAAAACAUAAAAAAGAACCUAACUUACGAAAAUCAAAUUCAGUUAAUGAAAACUAAAAUAAAUAUAGUUACUACCACUUCUACUACUGCUACUAUUACUACUACUACUAGAAACAAAGUGCACUAGCUCAAUGAUUUCACAUAAUUUCCUCAAAAGUAUGUUUAUCAAUCAUUAAUCUAAAGAAAAAUAUAGGCAUCAUUUAAAUUCAUGUAUCAAUUCCAAUGCAGGCAUAUUCUUGAAUGGAUUUUCGUGUGUGUGUGUAAAGUUUUUUACCAAGAAUAUCAUGACAUCCAGAUGAGUUUAUGCCAACACAAAUUUCAAAUUAGUACUAGAACUUCAUAUGUUUAUUUUUCAUCUCUCUCUCCACUAAUGUAGAGUAACACGAAGCUAGGGAUCAAUAGGACUUUAAUAGGCUUGUAAUGUAUGGCUAGGGUCAAGGUAUGAUAAAGGAUAUUAAUGUGGCUCAAAUCACCCUAAACACAUAAUUAUUCUAGGACCUAUCUAAAGAGAUUUAUUCUCCUUCUCCAACAUUUUCUUCCACAUUUGAACUUUUCUUUUUUUUUUUAAUACAUUUUGUUCACAAUUUCACACCCCCAAACUUAUUUUCUUUGUGUUGUAGGUAGUGGGGUUAUUUUUCAUAUUUUGAACUUCUUUUUUAUUUUUUUUCACAUCAACAUCACCUUUCCACCUUUUUCAACAUUUAACUCAAUUUAUAUUUCCUAAAACAAUAUACAUAUUUAGGAGUGAGGGUUGCAAAAUUAGAAAUUUUAUUUUAAGUCUAAGCUCAAUUAUUAUGUAGUUAAACAAAGAAUAGAGAAAUUAGGCUCAAAAAGGGUAUACUAGGGAUAAAAAUUUAACAAGGUUGGCUUUUUAAGCUUAAACAGUCCAAAGAUGACCUAAAUCAUAACUAAGUAUUGCCUAAGAUUUCACCUUGAGAGAAAUCAAGCAAAUUCUAGAAUUCAUGACGUAGUCUAAAAUUUACAUCAAUAUAAACCUUUUCCAAAUAUUCAGAAUAAUUCAAAGUAAAAGAUAUAGUGCUCAAAAUUGUGGAAAUCACAUUCUAACAAUGAUACUUAUCAACAGAAUUUAGCAUGAAUCCAAACAAAAACCUUAUUCACCAAAAGCUAAGAAUUCAGGACAACUAGUUAUCAUCAUUGGAUAGAGAAAUCAUUGAAAAAGUUGGCACAACUUUACUCUAGAUUCCUUAAAUUUGAACAAACAAUAAAUUCAUUUACCAACUAAUCCUAAAUUAUUUAUAAAAGUAAAUACGCAUACAAAUAAAAUUAAAUCUAAAACUUCCAGAAAAUAUUAAUCACUAGAAAAAUAAAUUCACCCCCCCCAAACUUAAACAAAACAUUGUUCUUAAUGUUAAAAAAAAUAAAGGAAAGGUAAAGAAUACUCUUUUGAUGGUUGGAUGAAUCUGGUGAAGCGUUAGUCCUCACCUUCGUCCUCAUCAUCCUCAUUGUCACCUGUAAGAGAAUUUUUUUUAUUGAAAAAAAAUAAGUAGAGAUUAAUGAAAAUAAAUAAAUGAAUAAAAUAAAAAUAAUUAAAAAAUAAAAGUUUUGAAAGCUUGGGUUGCCUCCCAAGAAGCGCUUCUUUAUAGUCAAUAGCUUGACUUUGGUUGAGGUUUGAGUUUGCAUGGAAAAGCUUGAGGUGUGAAAGUAGCCUCCUUUUGAGAUGAGGUUGUAGUGCCUUUAACUCAAAAUUUGAUGCUGACUUAACCCGAGGUGGUGGAAUAGGCUAACUUUUAUCUAACUUUUCAAAUUGAGUUCUUCUUGAAUAAUGCGCUUCUGUCAUAAUCUCUUUAAGUAACUCAUCAACUAUAUCCAUAAAAGGAAUGGGAGGCAUAUAUGGCUUGACUUAUGGUGGUGUAGAUAUUUCCUCUUCUUGUUUAAUUUCUCCAUCUUGAACUUGAUUGUUGGAAAUAUUUCCUUGAUCUACUCUAUCUCCAUCAUCUUAAGGUCUAUUAUUAAUGGCAAUAGCUAGUUGACUCACUUGUGUCUCAAGAUUUCGAAUUGAUUCUGCUUAACUUUGAAUGAUGGCAUCAGUCUUUUGUCAUGAAUUGCAUGAACAUAUCCUCUAUUGAAGGCUUUUUCUCUAGCAUAGGAGCUUUAACUUGUGACUGAAAACCAUAAUGGAAAAUAGGUUGUGAUGAAUAUGUAGGACCGUGAUCAUUACUUCAUGAAAAAUUUUCAUGAUUCCACCAUGAGUUAUAAUUGUUGGAGUAUGACUUAUUUUGCUGCCCAUCGAAGCUUCCAUCAAAUUGCAUUGAUUCAUAAUAGACUGGACAACAAUCACUUGAAUGCCUAUCUCCACAAAGCUCACAUGUUACAAAAGGACUUUGAAAAGCAUUAACACCUCGAGUGUUAAUUUUUUGAGACAAAGCAUCUAUUUGGGUGGCUAAAACAUUGAUUGCAUCCAAUGCAUAAUCAGUAGCAAGCCUUUUAGGCACAAAUAGUUCAAAUGGCCAUUGAUAGUUCAUCACUUCAAUCAAAAGUAUCUGAAAAUAAAACAAAAAGUUUGAAGUAAGAUUAGAAUUCUUGGUAUUAAUAUUAACAAGGAAGAAUUAAAAAUCAAUUUCCUAACAACGGCGCCAAAAACUUGUUGUUCCAUUUUCUACCCACGCAAGUAUAUGUAUCGCAAAGAUAAUAUAGAGAUGAGUAGAGUGUCGAUCCCACAAAGAAUUGAAUUAAUCCUUAUUGUUAACUAUUAAAAUUAACACACCCUAAUUUUAUCUAAACAAUUAAAAUUAAAAAGAAAAAUUUAAAUUAAUAAACUAAUAAUUAAAACUAAUAUAUCAACAAAAUUACUCCUAAUGAUUACCAUACUUAAGAUUAUGAUAUCCCUCAAUACUUCAUCUGCAUAUUGUCUCUCUCUCUUAACUAAAUUUAAUGGAUUAAGUUGCUAACCUCGAGUUCUAAAUUAUUAACAAGUUUCUGUCUAGUUUCUCAUAAAAAUACCUAUCCCAAUUAAUUUACUAUAUGUUUAUGCAAAUUAUAUUGAAUAAAGAUUCAUUAAGUUUGUGCUUUAAUUUUAGUUACGUAUGGCUUAUAGGUGUAUGUCUACCCUAUAUGCAAAUCAAACCACCUAAUCAACUAAGUGCAUUCGAUCAUACGCUAUUCUAUUUUAGGUCUACCUAAAUCUCCUUUGUCAAGUUUCCAAUUCAAUCUAAUUGGUGAUCAGGCAAUUAGAAGCAUUAAGAACAUAAUAAAUUAAACAACUUAAAUCUAUUAAAAAUAAGUAAAAGAAAGAUAAAUAAUUCAGACUACAUAUUGAGUUCAACCAUAAUCUUAGAUAAAAAGUUUAGUUCCCCAUUAAGUCACACAUUGAAUAAAAUUUAAACAUUAAAAACAAAACCAAGAUAACAAGAAAAUAAAAAAGAUAGAAAAACUAAAGAAUUGUAUUUUUGAUCUCCAAAUUUCCUUGAAUUCUUCAAAUUCUUCUUAGCGUCAAUGACUCUGUGGCUUGACUUUCAAUCUGGUGUUUCAUUUUUUUAUUUUUUUUAAGUCCUUCGAAAGGUUAUUUUUAUAGGUUUUGAAGCUAAGCCAAGUUGGGUGGAGAAAGAAGUCAAUUUUAGCUGGGAUUUCUUCAUCAGACUAUAUGGGUCGCAGCCUUGCCCAAUUAGUUACAAGAAAUCAUAAUUGCUCUAGGACUACUGUAGUGUGUUAACUUCGACAAGAUUUUUUACCACCUUCCAGGUCGAACUGGACAAAGUGUUAAACAUGAAAGUUGUAUCUUUUUCUCUUAUCUUUUCAAUGGUCUAAGACUUGCUUCAUUACCUUUUUAAGCUCAAGACAAUCCUGCAUGUACUUGUGCAUCAGCUAACACAUAAGCCGACGCAAGUAACGGACUGUGAGUUCAUCAUCAUCGGUUGUCCUCCCCUAGCUCAACUACAAUAAGAGCAAUUAAUUGUGUUAGUCGAUAGUCAAACAUGGAGUUGUUGCAUAUAAAACUAAGAAUUAUACAUACUAACCAGUGGAUUGGAACCAAUGUGCAUCUCAAAAUGUCCUGUCCCCAUAUGCAUCUAAGGCCAACUACUAUAUAGUUAAGGAAGUGGACGUGUAUAUCUGAUCUUCGUGUUGGGAAAAAGAAGCUUGACUCACAUUGGCCUAGUCAACAUCCUCUUACAUCAACUGAAGGUGUGACUAGUCGUCAUCUAGACGUGUGACCAUGCGCCUUCGCUUAACGAGGGCAGACAUUUUUUUCUCCUUUAACGCUCUCCUCUUCAGUCUUUGCUAGAUAUCUCACUUGGGUCGAUCCUUCAUAUGGCCUAUUGGCAUGUACUAGUUCCCCUCAAAUAGAAGGACCUCUAUGUCUGACCAAUAUUCUCAUCUGGCCUCCUCUAGUGUGGGCUCUAAGGUUUUGUGUGCUAAUAACUGCAAAAUAAGUAAAAUGAUAUUAGAUUUUGAAAGAUAGUAUAUAGAUGAACAAUGUAUAUUAGUAGGUUUACCUUCACUGCUAAGUAGAACUUUUGAACCACCUUGUAGAACUCCUUCGACUUUUAAUUGCACUUCCAUCUGCAAAUACAUGGGUACGCGUCCUCAUUGGAAAGACUUGGAGCAAUUAAUUUUGGAACACAAGAAUGGCCCCUAUUGCCCAUAAUUGCAAAUUAAUUGUAAACAUUAUUAUCACCUAUCUCAUACAUGACAUGCCAGCUUAAAUAUGUUAUAUAUAAAAGUAAAUUGGAAAAUGUUUCUUGAUAGUAUCUGUAUCGCGCAUGCAAAAUUAUAGAGGCUGUAGCGUAAAUGAUUUUGCAUAUCAGAGGUUUUGAGAGGAACUUUGAACCCUUUCAAUAGGUAGUCAUCAAUCAGCCUCCAUACAUAAUGACCCCAUGGGAAGACAUUCCAAGCUUCAAUGUCCUGAACCAACUCUAAUAGCUAAAAUGUCACCUAUCUUCUAUAGUCUUGUCUGAAUAAAAAAUUAUUCACCAUUAAGACGAGUGCCAUCUUUGUUGCGUCUCCUGGUUGCUGAAAGUUACAUUCUUGAAACUUAUCAAGCAACUGUUGUAGCUUUAAAUUGUCAUUCAUGUUCCAGAAUAUUGUGUGAAUGCCUCUAAAACGACCUUGUACAGUUGUUGGAAUAUAUUCAGCAUGGGGCUGAAUUUCAAUCUUGUAACAAGACAGAACUCUUGUUUGGAGAACAGCACCUUCGUCUUCACAAUUGUAAACCACAACUCAUGCUCCAACGAUUUGGGUUUAUUGAUUCAAUGAACCAUGAUGUUCUGCACAAGACUAGUGCAAAAGAAGCCCUGUGGAUGGACAUACUAAAGCAUAUACACUUCACUGCUUCAUACUCCGCUUUCUUUUAGGAGCAUCUUGUUGAUGUAUUAUAGUUGUGACCACUUACAAUGGGUGUUAAUGGGGACGUUGAAAGCCCAUUUAUCCUUUGGCAUAACAAGAGAUGCCUCAAGGUUAUUGUACUCUCUCAACUCCAUCUGCAAAACAUAUCACCCAUGCAUGUGUAAGCUACGUGCCAUUAACAUUAAACCCAUUUCAAGCAACGCACUAGUUUGAGCAAAUUUAUUGUUGUUCCACAUUAUGCAGAUUUCUUAAAAUGUUUUUAUGCGCCUAAAAAGAUGUUAGUUAUAUGAUGUAAUUGUCUCCAGGAAAUAAGCAAGGGGAAUGAAUGUACAUUGAAAACUAAGCCCAAAAAUGAAGAAAAAAACAUGAAAAACAUAUCAAUGCAUUACCCUUAACCCAUACCUUUCCUAAAGCAACAAAAUCAUGAAAAAAACCACUCAAAACACAUAAGAGAACUCACCAUUCAUUGAUUGACUUUUUCACACAAUUACAAAUUUGUUGUUGUAACCCUAAACUUUCCUCAGAAUUUGGUCCAACGCUUUAAUGCCUAUGGCAAUGAGGAAAUAUGAAUGAAUCAAACCGUCUCUACUCUUUGCUCUUAGUUGACCCUUCCAUUUGCCAAUGAGUAAUAAAAUGCGAUGGUGUGUUAAAUUCCUCACCUCUUAUAUACAUAGAUGAGAAAUUGAUAUAGGUUUCAUUAAGGGCAUUUUUGUUCGAAAUUCCUUUCUAUUAGAUUAUAGUGGUUAAAUUUAUGGCAUGUUACAUAAUCUCACCAUGGCAUGUUAUAACAACACUUUUUAACAUGAAGUCUAAUAAGCUUACUUUGGCAUCUCCAAAUAUUUUUCACUUUUUCUAUUAACAACAACCUUUUUUUAAGAUCGUGUGGAACAUCUUCCUUUCAACACAUGUGAAUGAAAAUUAUUUUUUAACUGUGGCAUGUUAAAACCCAAUUUUUUUAAACCUAGCAUAUUUUAACCUAAAUCAUCUGAUAAGAUCCACAUUCUUUUGAUUUUUGUCUUAUUGCUGUCAAAUUUGAAAGGCUUGAUGAUAAGACAAUUGCUAAGGCUACUAUAAACAUUGUUCAAUCUUGAAUGACAAUUGCUUCAAUGUAAAUAUAUUUUUUUUCCCAACUUAAAUGAGUUUUCUUUAUCAUUUUCCUAUUUCUUCAAAACUUUUAUGCAUUUGUCCAUUGGUUUUCAUGUUAAAGGUAUGAUUAUCUAACAUGCCAUUUACCAACAUUGAUAAGUUAUAACCUUUUUCUUUCAUUGUCAAAUUAAGAUACAUUUCUUGGGAUGUAAUAUUUAUUUCUAUGUUCUAAUUUAUGACUUUUACACAAUAUGUAUUAUGACCAAUUUGUUGGAAUGCGUCAAUAGACAUUGCUAUUAUAAGCCAUGGAUACUAUACAACUAUUGCUAAACGGCAUGCCAAUGUUAUUUCUCACUUACAUGACACGCCUUUAUAUAUUGUCAGUCACACCAAUUUUACAUAUAUUGUCAGUUAUGCGCCAUGCCUAUAUAUUUUGUCAGUUACACUUUAUGCGUAAAUAUACCUUAUUAUUACAUGACAUUCUUAACACCAUUCUAAAUAAAGGUAUUCCUAAUUAUGUAGCUAAAAUAAUGAUUCAUUUACAAUCAAAAUAAACUUCAUAAUUUGGAAGAAGAAAGAGCCAUAUGCUUCUACCCUAUACCAAAACCCUAAAAAUGAGAUAAACAUAAAAGUUUUCCCAGUUUUAUUCCAUAACUUGCAAUAAAACUAUAAAUUCAAUAUAGUAUAUUGCACAACACAAAAAAUUAAACAUAGAUCGAUGAGUCAAGAAUUUACAAGCAUUUCUUUGAGGUUUUUUUUAAAAUUGUUACAUUAUGGGAUAUUUGUACCAACUACAUUUUCAAACUGUUGCAUCAACAAAAAAGUGUUAGUGAACUUAUUUGCAUUAAAUCAUCAUUGAACUAAAGUGGUCGAAUAUUACUUAUUCUAUUAAAUAAAAUAUGUCAAGCCCGACUCUACAAUAUGUUUAUUAUGCCAUUCCUACAUAAGAAUGCAUGUUUGCUUAUUUGGGUACCUCGAAAAUCGUUAAAGGACGACAAUGUACCAAAUAGUGUAAUUAAGUUGAAUUAAGCCUUGGACUAGUCCAAAUAGAGAUUUUAAGAUGAAAUUGAGAAUUUUAAAAUCUCAGAAUGACUUAAAAUGGUGAUUUGGAGUUCGAGGACCGAUUUUGAGUCAAAUUAAAAUUUUCAUGAUCUAGGGCCAAAAUUGUCAUUUUGCCACCCGAGGUUAAAAUUGGAAUGUUGGAAGAAGUUUUUGAUCAAGAUUGACUAUUUAGAGCAUAAUUUGAGUUUGAGAAGUGAAAAAUUUUAAUUUCGAACAUUUUUUCGAGCAUAGGGGUAAAAUAGUCAUUUUGCCACCCCAUGGGCAAAAUUGUAAUUUUACACCACCUAACACUUGUCCAGCACAUGGAUUUUAUCCAAUAUUAUCAUGGAUAAUUGAAGGAUUUUAUGUGGUGGAGAAAGAAAACUUAAUAGUUAAGAAUUUAAAAAUGGACCAAUAACAUGGUGACAAGUGUCAAGCUUACAUUAUUUUAUUAUUUUGCUUUAAAAAUCAGCCUACAACUCUUCCACAUUCAUUCUUAUGGCCGACCAUAGCAAGAACAAAGGGAGAAAAGAAAGAACAAGAACCCUAAGGUGAAAAUUCAAGAGAAAAUUGGUGGAUUUCAAGUAAUUAAGCAAUCAAAGGUAAAAUUUCUUGAUUUUGACUUGUGAUCUACCUUUUUCAUGCAUUCUUUUGCAUUUUCCAUGGUUGAAUCACAUGAUUUCAUGAUGGGUAUCUUGCUGGCUGAACAUUUAGAGAGAGGUUUUGAUGCUUGAUUUGGUUAGAUUUUAAGAUAUUUUAGUGUUUUUAGUUAGUUAGUGAUGUAUAGCAUGAAAAUCAAGCAAGAAAAGUUCAUGUUCUUCCAUCACCCAUCAAUGGUCGAAUUUUACAAGAGAAACUGUGAGGAUGAUUUUGCCAUAUUUCAAGUUAUUUAAUUUGUGCUUGAUGAUUUGGAGUAUUGGGAGAAAAAUGAAAUUAUUUGGAGUUGAAUUGGACGUAUUGGCCAAUUAAUCAAGUGAUGGAUCGAAUUAGGCUAAUACCGUUUAAUUUAGGUACACAAUUUAAUUUGUGUAGAACACCGUGUUUAGACAAUAAUCCGAACAAUUUGCAUCCCAUUUCAUACAUUAGUAUAAAGCUUGAAUUAGUUUUAUAACAAUUUAGCAUAAUGUAGUAAAUGGCUUAUUGUGCAUUAUGUCUAGGUGGUGAGUAUUUUGGCAAAAGUAAAGAGAUAGUACCAGAUGAUCAAGAAUCGGAGUACUUGGAAUUCGACUCUCAAAAUAGUGAGUAACCUUACUAUCGUCUUAAUUAUCUAAAGUAUGUUUUAUUCGAUUUUGUGAAUUUUAUGGAAAAUGACUUAAAUGAUUAAUUUUUCAGUUUUAUAAACAAAAUGUGAUUUAAUGAAAUGAUUUCAUAAAAUUGUUUUGAAAUUGAAUGAUGGCUUUGAAAAUAGAGUAACUGGAGACCACUUGAUGUGUUGUAAAUUUAUGGUUCUAAUUUAUGGCUUAUGAUAAUGUGUUGGCAUGACUGGCUGAAAUUGUGGUUUGUGAACUGUAUGAAUUGUUCUGUUUUACAUUUACAGGCUGGGUAGUAUAAUAUUAGUCAUGUCAUGCUGUCAAAAUUUUAUUGUAUGGUGGGUUUAGCUUACUGCAGUGGCUAAGUUCUGUGGACCAGCCUAUUAGAAGGGCAUGAAAUUCAGUUAUAUUUUACCUCGGUUGGAGAUGUGAGUAAGGUAACUCCCGAGGUAUAACUUUAGAGUUCACUUCACACCAAACCACCACAUGAGGGUGAACUCAGCCAACGCCAAGGAACGACUAUAUUUUUAAAAUAAAAACAUGAUUUAUGCAUACAUAACUUUUUAACAACCUUGGCGGACUCGGUUGGGAUAGCCCUUGAUCAAGGCAUCCCUGAUAACUGGGUAUGAAAAUGAUUUUGGCAAGAGCCAAAGUUUUAAGAAAUUCAUAAGCCAUGUUAAUUAUUCGAUUUAUGUGAAUUGAUUUUAUUUGAUUGAAACAAGUUGAAAGGUGAUGAAUUACAAUAUGUUGAACUAUUUUAUCUGUCUCCAUUUACUC